rnacentral:lncRNA from 1 species
AAAAAACAUGCACACACAGAUAAUAAUAAUAAUCAUGUUUCCAUAAAAUUGCUAAGUCCAGAGAUAAUACAUAAACAUAGUAGACUGUUCAUGACACAUAUCACGGUGGACAGUGUUUGUGUCCUUAUUACAAGCAACGAGAGAUGCUCGUCACCAACACGCGCGCGCACAGAUGCACGACAUACAUAUAGUAGAGACCAACAGAUGGUCGUCCCAUAUGGUGAACAAUUUAUUGGAGAUAAAUAUUAACGUAACUUGGCCAUAGCUUGAAGCAUAGCAACAUAUGCCUAUGAGUGGCAUUCAUGCUAUCGUUUUAGGCUUGUCCAGCUCCUUCCAUCUUAGCAAGCACUUCCAUUUCUACCAUCUUAGCAGCAACUGUCAAAUUGAGAUACGGAAAUCCCAUUAGCGCAUGAGUUAAUUUUGCAGUGGAAAUAGAGUACAAGAUGUCUUCAUGAUGUAAGUAAUAUGCCUGAAGUUGUGAGAUGGGAAGUGAAGUCAACAAAUUACAUUAACGGAAAUGCAUGGAAGGCCACACAUACGUAUUAGUCCAUGAUAUGCUACAAAGCUUGUAUGUACAUAUAGCAAAUUAAAUGCAUUAAUUGAAUAGAGUGUGUUUAGUGAAUUUACCAGAAUCGUCCAGAAAACAUGGGAAACAGCAAGUGUUCUUGCAGACUGCGUCGGAGGCACCCGCACGAAUACAAAGCUGACAACAUAGUUUUGCCUGGGCGGAUGCGCAGCAGCCGCACUCCGCCGCGGUGGGGUUAACAUUGAGGCUCAAGAUGACCAGGCACAUGAUCACCAUCAAAGUGGUAGUCCUCUUUCCCUCCAUUGCCUCCUCUUAGCUUGCUGCUACCUUCCUUGGUUACCUAGCUAAGUUUAUUGGUUUUGUGUUGAGAGGUGUGAUUCUUGAAUGGACGUUGCCGGCGGCAAUUUAUAGGCAGCUGAGCUAUGUGAUGAUAUGGACUAGGUGCAAAUGGGUGGUUAAUGGCAAGGAAAGGGGCGUCAGACAAAGCCCAAUGGCAACUGCUGACAUGCGAUUAAAUUCAGAUCCACAUCCGGCCAUUCAAUAAUACGGUUGGAGUUGUGGCACAGAUAUAUUAUUGCAUGAUCAUCAAGAUAAGAUCGUACAGUGACUGAGUGAGACAAUAAAUAGCCAAGUAAACUAUUUUAUCCUGCUGCAAGCUGCAUUCAUAAGUUUAUUUCACCUUUGAUCACAAUACUCUUCACACACGUACGUCUCAGGGAGAUCUCACUUCCGCUGGACUGCUCACUUCCGCUGUCGUCGGUACUGCCAAAGACAUAAGCUCACAUCUGCUAUUGCGGAGCAGGCCAAUUUGCUGCGGAACUUCGGCGACGACCUGAAGGACAUGAACUCGGUGCUGGAGUCCAUCUCAGCAGCGCUCUAGGACGCUGACACCGGUAGAAAAACGACCUUCCAUCGUCAACAAAAAUCCCGGUAGCUUUUUUACUCGGUACUAAAGAGGUUUUAAUCUCGUGCAAACACCUUUAGUCCAGAUUGCUAUUACCACGCAACCCGGACUAAAGCGUCCCCCGCGAGUUAGUAUAUAAGGAUUGCAUCCUUUACUCAGUCAGAUAUAAUAUGUAGGUGAGAUGGUAAGGAAGCUAUGCGUGAGGCUUCAGGUUGUGGGUUCGAAUCCAAGUGGGUGCAGCUGUGGCUUAAGCGGCUGAGGCACGCCGCCAUAGACAUCUCAGAUUUGCUCGAAGACUACCAAGACACUAGUGAACCCUUAACAGUAAAGGUGAGUACUUAUGAAUGUCAGCAUCCAUGUUGUCCAUGCUUCCAAUGUAAUAACAAGAUGGACUACUCUUCCUAGCGGACUCUUCACAACCACUCGUAAAGCUAUGCGUUUCUCAAUGCAAUUUCGUAGAAGCCAAUCGAUCCAACCAAGUGACUAAAUCAUUCGUCCUUUCCAAUGAUGUGCAUCAGGUUUUCUAUAUGAAGGGCAUGUCUAGCAAACCUAAGAUUUCAGAAGAAAAAGAAAAAUCAUUGGAGCCAAAGAGCCACAUAGUUCUUCUAGGAAAAAAAUCAUGGGAGUCGAGAACAUAUCAAACCAAUCAGGGGAUUAUGGUCAGCUUAAUGGCAUGCCUCCAUUCGAUGUCGAAGUUCACCCAAGCAUCAUGUUAGCCAAACAUCAAAUGUUCGUGCGUUGUUACGGUAAAGAUCAAUUGUGUUUUUUAAACUCUUGGAAUUUUUUUAUCUAAGUUUUUAUUUACACUUAUUGGAUGUCUACACAUUUGCUAGAAAACUAAAAUAAUUUGGACUUAAUUAUUUCUUUCAACUGAAGUACUCACUAAAUUUCUACCUUUUUAUUUAAGCAAGAGAGUUGCUAAAAAAAAUGGAUACGUAACCAUGUUGUAUCAUACAAAGUAACCACGUUUCACAUAUAGUCCGGCUUAGCAAACACCAUUGUUUUCUGAACAUAGCGUACAUGAGUUAACAGACAUGGAUUUAUUUCUAUUGCAAGUAGCAUAGCGUACAACCUGCCUGCACCGAUGCAGCUCAAUAUGCGAUAAUUUUUAUCUUCCCAUGUAAUUUUUCUACUCUAGUACAUAUUGAACUCCACAUUAAUGUCAUGUUCUUUCGCGCCCCAGAAGGUUCCUAAAGUUUGGAAACUUAAUAGAUAGCCAGAAUUUUUUUUAAAGAUAUUUAUAUGGAUACUUGUAUGUUCUUUCCAAACUAACAAUAUUGUUUACCAAUAUCAGAAGGAAUAUGGUUAGGAGCCAUUGCCGCAUAUGGCAGGUGAUGGUAGAUGGCGUAUGGGGUUUCGUUAAUUUAAUGGUAUAAUAAGCUGAAAUACAUUUUCUAUUUGCAAAUGAAUCAUAGCUGAAAUUGGUGGGAUUGUUUUUUCGCCGGUUUAGCAUCCUGUGCACCAGUUCAACCGGAGGGAAGCUGUUUUUUUUCUUUGGUUUUCCACCGGUUCACCGAGACCGAUGACAAUUUUAUGGCAGAAUCAUUACUUGUUUUACUAUUAGGUGAAGAUUUUAGCGUUUAGGUAUCUCACAUUAAACGCAACUUCAACAAUCUAUUUCUAGUGUAUAAUGUAGGAGACCCCGUAAAGAGUCUACACACACAUAUAUGUUGACUAUGAAUGUAAGUUUGUUGGUUUUAUGUAUGUUCGUUUGGAGUUUAUAUAAAUUUUACAUUUUAUAGUUUUGUGUAUAUGACGAAGAUCCAUGACUUGCAUUAAUUUAGCCUUUCUUCCAACAACUCUUAUGCAUGAUGUUUCUAGGCGAGCGUACUGGUUGCAAUUUUGGUCCCCGAUAUAGUGUGAGGACUUAAGGGACACGUGCAGGUCGUAACCUUAGAUAUUUUUGCUGAGAAUGGAUGAAGAAGCAAUAAUAUACUUUGCUUCUGAUUUUCUCCAUGUCAUUUGCUUACUCUUAUCCCUUUUAUUUAUCAUUAUAAGAUGAAAAUAUUGUAAAAACUUGGCUACGUGCGGUCGCAGAAGCUAGAGACUAAAGCGUCCCCCACGAGUUACUAUAUAAAAGGAUUGCAUCCUCUACUCAGUCAUAUGUACUGUGUAGGUGAGAUGGUAAGGAAGCUAUGUGUGAGGCUUGAGGUUGUAGGUUCGAAUCCCACGCACCGCGUGCGCAUGCGCAUAUUUUGCGUGAAAAAUCGCAUGACUUGUGGUCGGCCAAGGAGAAGUGCGUGCGGCUGAGGCACGCCGCCAUAGACAUCUCGGAUUUGCUCCAAGACUACCAAGACACUAGCGAACCCUUAACGGCAAAGUUGAGUACUUACGCGUGUUAGCAUCUAUGUUGUCCAUGCUUCCAAUGCAAUAACAAGAAGGGCUACUCAUCCUAGCGGAUUCUUCACAACCACUCGUAAAGCUAUGCGUUUCUCAAUGCAAUUUCGUAGAUGUCAAUCGAUCCAACCAAGCGACUGAAUCAUUCGUCCUUGCUAAUGAUGUGCAUCAGGUUUUCUAUAUGAAGAACAUGUCUAGCAAAUCCAAGAUUUCAGAAGAAAAAUAAAAAUCAUGAGAACCAAAGCACCACGUAGUUCUUCCAGGUAAAAAAAACAAUCAUCCACUGGGAUGACACACAGUAGCGAUCCAAAACGUCCAUAUUAAGACUUUUUGAUAGCAGAAAAAACAUGAAAAUGUCUAAUAUUUGUAGUAUUAAAAGGAAAAAUAAUAUAUUCACUUGACCUUUUUUUCGUAGCAACGCACCGGUGCGUAGUCAGACUUAGGCCACGUUUGGAUACUCCCUACUAAAGUUUAGCACCUGUCACAUAGGAUGUUUGGAUACUAAUUAGGAGUAUUAAACAUAGGCUAAUUAUAAAACUAAUUGAACAGAUGGAGUCUAAUUUGCGAGACGAAUCUAUUAAGCCUAACUAGUCCAUGAUUUGACAAUGUGGUGCUACAGUAACCAUUUGCUAAUGGUGGAUUAAUUAGGCUUAAUAGAUUCGUCUCGCGAAUUAACAUAGGGUUCUGCAAUUAAUUUUAUAAUUAGCUCAUGUCUAGUCCUUCUAAUUAGCAUCCGAACAUCUGAUAUGAUACUGCUAAAGUUUAUCACCUAGUAUCCAAAUACCCCCUUAAUGCACGAUGCCUGUGCAUCCACUGGGCCUACCCUCGUGGAUCACGCGCUCGUGGAUCACGCGCACCAUGACAUGGCUCAUUAGCUAGUCGUGCUAAUCCUUACCACCAAAUUAAAAACUAGCAUGUGUUGUGUGUUUGUGACCCUAAACGACUACCACCUUCCCGAGUCCACCGGAGUUGCCAGUUCACCACUAAGCUGACUCUCCGAGCUUCAUGUCACUGUCACCGCUCCAAAGACCUAGAUCGGUUCGCUGUGCACCCCGCUUCGUCCUGAGCUAAAUCCCAUCACGAAAGGUGACCGGAUGCUCGUUUUCGAGCGAAUUCUAGCGAGAUUGCCACCACCUUUCCCCUUCCAGCCGAUCGCAGCUGUCUGAUCACAAACCGACAGCCCAGAUCGGAUUUGACCAGGUCAAUACCGGUCAAGCCGAGAUGCAUGCUGCUUUUGCAAGAAGGCCCCUAUUUUUCUCUCUUUUUGCACUUGAGGUCCUACGCAGUUCAAAAGUAAUUAGAUCUAGAUCCUUUUUCUUCUGUUUUAGCCCUGUUCUUUUAUAAAAUCCCACCCGCCAUCCUGUUUGGUAUUUUGACAUGUUAGACCUUCUAUUUAUAUGUUUAAUUAGGUUUUAGCCCUUGGUUUCUUUAAGUUUAGCUCUUGGAAGUUUAGUUUUCUCGCAGUUAAGCCCCUGAACCUUGUUUAGUUCAUAUCUUUAGCGUUUUAAAUCCGUUUUAAGAGAUUCUUACGCCCAUAAGUUCGUGUUGAUGCAUAGAUUAGUUGACUUAUACGGACCUUGCUGAUUCAGCUCCUUCAUUGUGCUUCAGAUCUCGCUAGUGAAGAAUAAUGGAUGGGCUUUGGUUGAGCUUGUAGAUCGACCUGCAGUUGCAGUGAAUGUGCUGAGGACUGGCGGUACCAAUAAUGGGAGGCCGCUGCUCUGCUUGCUACCAAGGCCUGCGACGCUUGGACGCCAUUCAGAGUGCAUAAUUUCCAAGGAUCUCAAGGGCUCCACACCACGUUCCAAGUGUUUUUUCUUUGCCGAGUGUUUUUAGCUCGGCACUUGGCAAAGAGCUUGUUUGCCGAGUGUCCGAAAAAAACACUUGGCAAAGAGAAAACACUCGGCAAAUUUGAUGUUUCCCGUAGUGAUGUACUAUUCAAACUUGAACUGGGAUGCAGGCUUCAGUACCAAAGAGAGCUCUGGGCGCGGGUGAGCAGUGAGCUGGCCGGGCAGGGAGCUCCAAAGCGACAGCAACAAAGAGAGAAAUGCUAAGAGUAAGAACGACACACGAGGUCACUUCACAUAGAUAAUAGCAGUACGAACCAUACAAUAUCCUCUCUCAGUUUCACUCCGCCUCACACACGGCUAGCACACCAUGCAUGCCGAUUUCAUAUUAUUAAUAUUAUUUUUUGGAUGGUUGUUGAAACUAUAUAUAUAGUUAGUCCAAUCUCACGUUUCCGAUUAUAAAAAUCAACGUAAAGAGAUCGGUAGGGAGAGCCGGCAUAAUGAAGCCGACGCGUGUAAUAAGCACCAGAGCCGGCAUUUAUACAAACUGGUACGAAUAGUAAAAAACUAGAAUUUAUAAAUAAAAAAAUGAUUUGCACAUCUAUGCAAUAAUUAGGGGUUAGUGGCAGGUCUAGAGAGAUAUCUCAUCAUUAUAUCCGGUUUAACGAGGAUAAAAAAGAGUGUAUUUUCCACUCAUCAUGUUGUCUUUUCGCAGCGGUACCACUUUUCGUGUGUUGUAUCGGUCCCCUAAUACGGAGUCUCCGAGGCCCGAGAAAAUAAGGAAAGUGAUAGUAGCCCAGAAAUCGGCCAAGUUUCUUUCCCCUUUGGCUUUCCUACUAGGAUUCAGAAUCCUCUUUCGCAUGACAAUCUUAAUUAUCUCCCAUACUCCAAAACUCACAAAAACAUCAAGAGUCCGCUGAGAAUAAAUUUAAGUAAAAAACAUGCACACACAGAUAAUAAUAAUAAUCAUGUUUCCAUAAAAUUGCUAAGUCCAGAGAUAAUACAUAAACAUAGUAGACUGUUCAUGACACAUAUCACGGUGGACAGUGUUUGUGUCCUUAUUACAAGCAACGAGAGAUGCUCGUCACCAACACGCGCGCGCACAGAUGCACGACAUACAUAUAGUAGAGACCAACAGAUGGUCGUCCCAUAUGGUGAACAAUUUAUUGGAGAUAAAUAUUAACGUAACUUGGCCAUAGCUUGAAGCAUAGCAACAUAUGCCUAUGAGUGGCAUUCAUGCUAUCGUUUUAGGCUUGUCCAGCUCCUUCCAUCUUAGCAAGCACUUCCAUUUCUACCAUCUUAGCAGCAACUGUCAAAUUGAGAUACGGAAAUCCCAUUAGCGCAUGAGUUAAUUUUGCAGUGGAAAUAGAGUACAAGAUGUCUUCAUGAUGUAAGUAAUAUGCCUGAAGUUGUGAGAUGGGAAGUGAAGUCAACAAAUUACAUUAACGGAAAUGCAUGGAAGGCCACACAUACGUAUUAGUCCAUGAUAUGCUACAAAGCUUGUAUGUACAUAUAGCAAAUUAAAUGCAUUAAUUGAAUAGAGUGUGUUUAGUGAAUUUACCAGAAUCGUCCAGAAAACAUGGGAAACAGCAAGUGUUCUUGCAGACUGCGUCGGAGGCACCCGCACGAAUACAAAGCUGACAACAUAGUUUUGCCUGGGCGGAUGCGCAGCAGCCGCACUCCGCCGCGGUGGGGUUAACAUUGAGGCUCAAGAUGACCAGGCACAUGAUCACCAUCAAAGUGGUAGUCCUCUUUCCCUCCAUUGCCUCCUCUUAGCUUGCUGCUACCUUCCUUGGUUACCUAGCUAAGUUUAUUGGUUUUGUGUUGAGAGGUGUGAUUCUUGAAUGGACGUUGCCGGCGGCAAUUUAUAGGCAGCUGAGCUAUGUGAUGAUAUGGACUAGGUGCAAAUGGGUGGUUAAUGGCAAGGAAAGGGGCGUCAGACAAAGCCCAAUGGCAACUGCUGACAUGCGAUUAAAUUCAGAUCCACAUCCGGCCAUUCAAUAAUACGGUUGGAGUUGUGGCACAGAUAUAUUAUUGCAUGAUCAUCAAGAUAAGAUCGUACAGUGACUGAGUGAGACAAUAAAUAGCCAAGUAAACUAUUUUAUCCUGCUGCAAGCUGCAUUCAUAAGUUUAUUUCACCUUUGAUCACAAUACUCUUCACACACGUACGUCUCAGGGAGAUCUCACUUCCGCUGGACUGCUCACUUCCGCUGUCGUCGGUACUGCCAAAGACAUAAGCUCACAUCUGCUAUUGCGGAGCAGGCCAAUUUGCUGCGGAACUUCGGCGACGACCUGAAGGACAUGAACUCGGUGCUGGAGUCCAUCUCAGCAGCGCUCUAGGACGCUGACACCGGUAGAAAAACGACCUUCCAUCGUCAACAAAAAUCCCGGUAGCUUUUUUACUCGGUACUAAAGAGGUUUUAAUCUCGUGCAAACACCUUUAGUCCGGAUUGCUGUUACCACGCAACCCGAACUAAAGCGUCCCCCACGAGUUACUAUAUAAGGAUUGCAUCCUUUACUCAGUCAGAUAUAAUGUGUAGGUGAGAUGGUAAGGAAGCUAUACGUGAGGCUUCAGGUUGUGGGUUCGAAUCCAAGGAGAAGUGGGUGCAGCUGUGGCUUAAGCGGCUGAGGCACGCCGCCAUAGACAUCUCAGAUUUGCUCGAAGACUACCAAGACACUAGUGAACCCUUAACAGUAAAGGUGAGUACUUAUGAAUGUCAGCAUCCAUGUUGUCCAUGCUUCCAAUGUAAUAACAAGAUGGACUACUCUUCCUAGCGGACUCUUCACAACCACUCGUAAAGCUAUACGUUUCUCAAUGCAAUUUCGUAGAAGCCAAUCGAUCCAACCAAGUGACUAAAUCAUUCAUCCUUUCCAAUGAUGUGCAUCAGGUUUUCUACAUGAAGGGCAUCUCUAGCAAACCCAAGAUUUCAGAAGAAAAAGAAAAAUCAUUGGAGCCAAAGAGCCACAUAGUUCUUCCAGGAAAAAAAAAUCAUGGGAGUCGAGAACAAAUCAAACCAAUCAGAGGAUUAUGGUCAGCUUAAUGGCAUGCCUCCAUUCGAUGUCGAAGUUCACCCAAGCAUCAUGUUAGCCAAACAUCAAAUGUUCGUGCGUUGUUACGGUAAAGAUCAAUUGUGUUUUUUAAACUCAUGGAAUUUUUUUUCUAAGUUUUUAUUACACUUAUUGGAUGUCUACACAUUUGCUAGAAAACCAAAAUAAUUUGGACUUAAUUAUUUCUUUCAACUGAAGUACUCACUAAAUUUCUACCUUUUUAUUUAAGCAAGAGAGUUGCUAAAAAAAAUGGAUACAUAACCAUGUUGUAUCGUACAAAGCAACCACAUUUCACAUAUAGUCCGGCUUACCAAACACCAUUUUUUACUGAACAUAGCGUACAUGAGUUAAGAGACAUGGAUUUAUUUCUAUUGCAAGUAGCAUAGCGUACAACCUGCCUGCACCGAUGCAGCUCAAUAUGCGAUAAUUUUUAUCUUCCCAUGUAAUUUUUCUACUCUAGUACAUAUUGAACUCCACAUUAAUGUCAUGUUCUUUGGCGCCCCAGACGGUUCCUAAAGUUUGGAAACAAAAUAGAUAGCCAGAAAUUUUUUUAAAAAAUAUUUAUAUGGAUAUUUGUAUGUUCUUUGCAAACUAACAAUAUUGUUUACCAAUAUCAAAAGGAAUAUGGCUAGGAGCCAUUGCCGCAUAUGGCAGGUGAUGGUAGAUGGCGUAUGGGAUUUCGUUAAUUUAAUGGUAUAAUAAGCUGAAAUACAUUUUCUAUUUGCAAAUGAAUCAUAGCUGAAAGUGGUGAGAUUGUUUUUUCGCCGGUUUAGCAUCCUGUGCACCGGUUCAACUGGAGGGAAGCGGUUCACCGAGACGGAUGACAAUUUUACGGCAGAAUCAUUACUUGUUUUAUUAUUAGGUGAAGAUUUUAGCUUUUAGGUAUCUCACAUUAACAAUCUGUUUCUAGUGUAUAAUGUAGGAGACCCGUAAAGAGUCUACACACACAUAUAUAUGUUGACUAUGAAUGUAAGUUUGUUGGUUUUAUGUAUGUUCAUUUGGAGUUUAUAUAAAUUUUACAUUUUAUAGUUUUGUGUAUAUGACGAAGAUCCAUGACUUGCAUUAAUUUAACCUUUCUUCCAACAACUCUUAUGCAUGCUGUUUCUAGGGGAGCGCACUGGUUGCAAUUUUGGUCCCCGAUAUAGCAUGAGGACUUAAGGGAGACGGGCACGUCGUAACCUUAGAUAUUUUUGCAAGAAGCAAAUUAUACUUUGCUUUUGAUUUUCUCCAUGCCAUUUGCUGACUCUUAUCCCUUUUAUUUAUCAUUAUAAGAUGAAAAUAUUGUAAAAACUUGGUUACGUGCGGUCGCAGAAGCUAGAGACUAUUUCUUUUUUUAAAAAUACGCAAGAGGGAGAAACUUGGUAACAGCUAGACAGUGAAGAUCGCAUUUCAUAAGAAAGAUGGUGCACGUUCUUGUUUGGCUGUUAACGAAAUGACUUCGUUUCACCACACCACCAGAGAGCCCCAUUGCACUUGCAGCAAAAGCGUGGAGCCGCUUUCAACCAGCGUGCAAUAAUGCAGUCCCGCGUGUCUUGGUCUUACAGGAUAUUUGGUUCUUUAGUCCGGACUAAAAUUCAUGUCGCAUAGAAUAUUCAGAUGUUAAAUAGGAGGACUAAACAUGAGCUAAUUAUAAAAAUAAUUACACAAAUGGAGGCUAAUUCCCAAGACAAAUCUAUUAAGUCUAAUUAAUCCAUCAUUAGCACAUGUUUACCGUAGCACCGUAUUGUCAAAUCAUGGACUAAUUAGGCUUAAUAAAUUCGUCUCGCAAGUUAGUCUCCAUCUAUACAAUUUGUUUUAUAAUUAGUCAAUGUUUAAUACUCUAUCUAAACAUUCAAUGUGACUGAAAUUUUAGGAGGUCCUAAAGAACCAAACACCCCUUAGUCUCCGCCUGAACUAUAGCAGGUGCUGGCAGCGGUAGCAGGGUCGUCCAUUAUAUCUAUGGAUGGAAAUGAUCUGAUUCGGAUGGAAUCGAAUUCGAAUAGCACUUUUUACCACAUACUAAUCUGAAUUGGAUGUUCUCGAAUGUGAAUGCAAAACGGAUAGUUCAAAUUUGAAUACUUUGCGGAUUUUUGCAUAAUAUUAAUCGAAGAGAAUUUGUUAAAUUUAGCCGAGACAUAAAUUUUUCUAAAUUCAAAUACUUUGCAGAUUUUCGAAUGCAAAUUUUUUCAUACGAUCUCGGUUGAAUACAAACUUUAUAUCAAAGUUGUAUAUUUAGAUUAUAUAUAAAACUUUGUAGUUGACCUCCUUUUCAUUUAAAAUUUUUUAAUAGCUCAAAACAUUAUUCUAAGCUUUCUAAUUUCAAAAUCUUGAAUUUUAAAUUUUUCAAACGACCUCGGAUGCAAACAAGCUCUAUAUCAAAGUGCUUAAUGAGAUAUAAAAUUUUGUAGUUGACAAGUUUUUUAGUUGAAAACAUUUAGUUAUCACAAACAUACAAGUUCUUCAUUUGAUGUCGAGGAUUGGAAGUGUUGAGUUUGAAGAAUAUAUUCUUUGAUUACAAACUUUUCCAUAUGAUCUUGGAUGAAUACGAACUUUAUUUCAAAGUUGCAAAUUUAGAUUAGACCAAAAACAGUAUAGUUUACAAUUUUUUCAUUCAAAAUUAUUUAGUAGCUCAAAAUGUUAUUCUAAACUCUCUAAUUUUGAAAUCUUGAAUUUUAAAAUUUUCAAAUGACCUCGGAUGCAAACAAGCUCUAUAUCGAAGUGGUAGUUCUUAAUGAGAUAUAAAAUUUUGUAGUUCCAUCUGAGAUCAUUUAACAGUCACAAAUAUACAAGUUUUUCAUAUGAUGCUAAGGAUCAGAAAGAUUAAGUUUGAAGGCUGUAUUUUUUUAAUACAAAUUUUUGCAUACGAUCUCGGAUGAAUACAAACUUUAUAUCAAAAUUGUAGAGCUCGAUGAGAAUUUAAACUUUGUAGUUGAUAUAUUUUUCAUUCGAGAAUGUUUAGUGGUCCAAACAUGUAUUAUAAGUUCAGAGAAGAAACACACAAUCGGCCACGUCAUCAAUUGACAACUUCCAAACUGAGCAUUCCUAUUGGUUCACACCUUUCCCUUUCAACUCGUCAAGCUUAUCUCCUCCCACUCCUCCAUCGUUCACUCCCCCUUCCCCUUCCUCUCUCCCUCCCUCCCUCCGCUCCAGCAGUGGCAGCCCGACCUGCCUCCUAGGACGGUGGUGUGCGGGGCUCGGGCAUCCCUGGCCUCUAGUGGCGUGGCAGGGCGGCCUCCAGCAGCGAUGGCGGAACUCGGCCUCCGGUGGCGCACAGGCAGCGCAGCCUACCUGGUCAAAGGCGGCGCAACAGGGCGACCUCCCCAGCCUCCGGCGGCGCGCAGGGCAUCCAUGACCUCCCCGGCCUCCCUUGCCAGAGGUGGUGCGCGGGGCUGCGCCGACCUCCCCAACCAGAGGUGGCAAGGCCCCAGCUUACGGCGGCGCGUGGCUCCCCAGCUAGGGUGUGGUGGGGCGGCGGCAAGUCAGGCGUGGCCGCGUGGGGGUGGGGGGAGGGGGUUGGGCUGGGCGGAUUCAGAUAGUAUCCAUUUAACCAUCCGAAAUGUGGAUAUCCGUUUAACAAUCCGUUUAGCAAAACCGAAUUUGGAUACUUCCACUUAAGUAUCCAACUAGGAUUCGAAUGCGGAUGGUCCUACCAUAUUGUUAUUUCAGCGGAUACGAAUAUGGGAUAAUUCGAAUAACGACUUACCCAUCCCUGAUUAUAUCCGUGUAAAUAAAUAAUUGCGGCAGCAGGUUCCCGUCGCCACGCCCCCGUCAAACCAAACAAUUGCUUGCGCGACACCGUGUUACUAGAUCUUGUACAGUACUCCCUCCGUUGCAGUACUCCCUAAUGAAAGUUGAGAAUCGAUCGACAACCACGGCUAGUUGCUAUGCACUCGAUCAGAUGGUCCAGGCGCCCGCUGGUAAUCAGGUCGUGGUUCACGCGCAUCAGGCCAGCUAUGACGUUGCCAGCAGUGCUCAGUACACAAAUCUAGCUAUCAGUCGGAUCCAAUUGGGCAGGCAUUUGCACUGUGGUUGUGUUUGAACCUGUAGAUGUCGUUGUCAUUAUCAGGCACCAUACAUCCUCUCUCAGAGGGUGUUUCACCCCCUAAACUUUAGCCCCUCUCACAUCGAAUGUUUUAGAUACUAAUUAGGAAUAUUAAACAUAGAAAAUUUACUAAACCCAUUACAUGGAUGGAGGGUAAACGGCGAGACAAAUCUAUUAAAUCUAAUUAGUCCAUGAUUUGACAAUGUGCUGCUAUAGUAACUAUUUGCUAAUGAUGGAUUAAUUAGACUUAAUAGAUUUUUCUUGCUGUUUAGCCUCCGUCUGUGCAAUUAGUUUUAUAAUUAAUUCAUAUUUAGUCCUCCUAAUUAGUCUCCGAAUAUUUGAUGUGACACGGACUAAACUUUAGAUAGCACACCAGGGACCGACACCAUGCAUGCUGAUUUCAUAUCAUAAUUAAGGAAAGUGAUAUCAUAAUUAAGGAAAGUGGUAGCAUCCAAGAAAUCGAUCAUGUUUCUUCCCCCUUUGGCUUUCCUACUAGGAUUUGGAUAGCGGGCCUUCCUACUAGGAUUUGGAAUCCGCUAUCGCAUGACUAUCUUAAUUAUGUCCCAUAGUCCAAAACUCACAAAACAUCAAAAAUCCAUCGAGAAUAAAUUAAGUAAAAAACAUGCGCACACAGAUAAUAAUAAUAAUAAUCAUGUUUCAAUAAAAUUGCUAAGAUUAGAGAUAGUACAUAAACAUAUUAGAUUGUUCGUGACACAUAUCAUGGUGGAUAGUGUCUGUGUCCUUAUUACAAGCAGCGAUAGAUGCUUGUCACCACACACACGCACGCACAGAUGCACGACAUACAUAUAGUUGAGACCAACGGAUGGACGUCCCAUAGGGUGAAUAAUUUAUUGGAGAUAAAUAUUAACAUAACUUGGCCAUAGCUUGAAGCAUAGCAACAUAUGCUUAUGAAUGGCAUUCAUGCGGGUAGCAAUGCUAUCAUAUGCUUUUAGGCUUGUCCUUAGCUUCUUCCAUCUUAUAGCAAACACUGCCAUUUCUUCCAUCUUAGCAGCAACUGUCAAAUUAAUUGAGAUAUGGAAAUCCCAUUAGCGCAUGAGUUAAUUUUGCAGUGGAAAUAGAGUAGAAGAUGUCUUCAUAAUGUAAGUAAUAUGACUCUGACAUAGGGAGUGAAGUCAACAAAUUACAUUAACGGAAAUGCAUGGAAGGCCACGCAUAUGUAUUAGUCCGAUAUGCUACAAAGCUUGUAUGUACAUAUAAUAAAUUAAAUGCAUUGAAUAGAGUGAUUUUAGUGAAUUUACCUAAAUCGGAUUAAAAAACAUGGGAAACAACAAGUGUUCUUGUAGGGCUUUGUUUAGUUCCCAAAUUGGGAGUAGCAAAGUUUGCAUUUUACCAUAAAUGCGCAACUAUAGCAUGUAGCAUUUUGUUUGUAUUUGUGAAUUAUUAUCCAAACAUUGACUAAUUAGGCUCAAAAGAUUCAUCUCGCAAAGUACAACAAAACUGUGCAAUUAGUUUUUGAUUUCGUCUACAUUUAGUACUCCGUGCAUGUACCGCAAGUUUGAUGUGAUGGGGAAUCUUGCUUUUCAAUAGUGACAAAGUUGGGAUUUCGGGGGGAAGGCCUGUGUCGGAGCCACAUGCAAGAAUGGCUGACAUUGAGGCUCAGACAAAGCCCAAUGGCAACUGCUGACAUGCGAUUAAAUUUAGAUAUCCACAUCCAGCCAUUCACAUUUAUGAGAUAUGGACACGGUGCAAAUGGGUGGGGUCCUGAUAUGGAGGUGCGAAUGGCUGUCUACUUGUAUAGUGUAGCUCCAAUGUACGUAUAUGUAUCUUAUGCAUGUAUACAGUUGCACAAACUCUGAACCAACUCUUCAUAACAGGUCUUUGUUACCAAGUAACUUUACUUUUGCACGUUUCAGCCGAGAGGUAGAAGAGAAUAUUUUUGCAUUUUCCAUGUGCGUCAGUGGUAGAGAACUAGGAAUUAGUUCCGGAUGGUAGGGCACAAAUCUUCCAAACAACUAUCCGAAAUUAAGCAAUCGAGAUAAAGGGUGCCAUCUAUUCUCUCCGAAAAACACAGGUACCAAAAAGAAGAAGAGAAGAGGGAGGGCCUCCCGUUAAGGCCCGCUCGGGGUCUCCAUCCCACCACGCGCCCUCCCAACCCAAAGCCCAUCGUUUUCCCUCCGUCCCUCCCCUCUCCAUUGCCGCCGCCGCUCCCCUCAUCCGAGCUCGAUACGGGUGGUCGGCGGCCCCUCCUCUCCGCUCCCGCCCCCGGCCUCCCUUUGACCGCCGGGCGCCGGCAUCACUGCCGCGGCCAACCCCAGGGCGCAGCGCGUGCCUCUAUUUCUCUCCCCCGUUCAAGGGCCCUUUGAUGGCGACGAGCACCCACCCACCAGGUAUGCCCUCCCCUUCUCUUCCUAACCCUAAUAUAUUCGGAUCUCACCCAGUCACAAUAUAUUACCUAAUAGCUUCGAUUUUGUUUGCAAAAAUCAUCACGUGCGCACCCAUGUCCGCUAGAUUCUUGCGCCUGAUCCUGUGCUGCUAUGGUUUGGGCGGGGUAGACUAGUUGAUUCGUGCACUUUUGGGUGCUUGUAGUGCUAGGUUUUGGAGGGGGAUAGCCCAGUUGAUUCCUCCGUUUUGGGUGCUCAUGGUGAUAGGAUUUGGAUGGGGAUAGCCCCAAUGAUUCGUGCGCCUUUGGGUGCUGGGGAUAGUUUUGGGUGCCUGGAUAGUCCAGUUUCAAUGUCAGUAUAUGCGUAUUUUGGGGAGAAUUUUGUUUUGGGUGGUUCUGGUGCUAGAGUUUCUGAUGCUUAGUAGCCCAGUUUCAAUCAAAUUCCCCCAUGGGUCGUGCACUACGGGAAACAAGAAAAUUGCCGAGUGUAUUUUUUUUGUCGAGUGUUUUUUUUCGAGCACUCAGCAAACAAGCUCUUCGCCGAGUGCCAAGUCAAAAACACUCGGCAAAAAAAAACACUCGGCAAAUCGGGGCUUUGCCGAGUGUCAAAUAAAAAACACUCGGCAAAGAAGGGGGUUUGCCGAGUGUUAAAAAAAACACUCGGCAAACAGGAGGGUUUGCCUAGUGUUUUUUUGACACUCGGCAAAAAAAUAAUUGUUUUUCCUCUUUUCACCUUGAAAUUUUUUCUACUCCCCACAUACAACACGUGGUACUCCAUGUUAAAAUUUGGUAUAUUUUUGGAUUUAUUUGCUAUAUUUAUUUAAUUAAUUGCAUUACAAGGAAAUUUUUGGUAUAAGUCAAAUUUGAACUGCAAGUGAUUCAAAUUGUGGAACAAAAUGAGUAGAAAAAUGAUAUUCAUGUUAUUUGGCUCAAUUUGAGACCUGACCCAUGAAAUGAAAAGAAAUUUCGAACAUCUUGUUCAGGAAACACGACAAUGAACAUGUGGCGGUAGUAUUUUUAAAUUGUAAAAAAAACAAGCAAAGUCUGAAAAUCAUGAGAUUUGUAGUUAUGUGAUGAUAUAAUACGUGGAAGCUGUGGAAAAAAAUUGGAAAGGUUUUGCACAUUUCAUCAUGUACGAUGAUUACAAACCGAAGCAUAUCAGAAGAAGAAUAGUAACUUUGAGAAGGAUUCGAUAAAAUUUAGAGUCGAAGUGACGGUCGAGUUCGGUUUGACUACAAAACUUUUUGUAUAGUCAGUAGAGAACAUAUCUUAUUUCGUGUGAAAAUUUGGUAUUUUUUGAAACUGUUGGAUAUUUUUAAUUUUUUUUUAAAAAAACUUUGCCGAGUGUCCUAGGGUAGACACUCGGCAAAGAAAAACUUUACCGAGUGCCCGCCUAGGACACUCAGCGAACCUUUUUUUAAACCUACCGGCUCCGGCCGGCCCAGCCCACAAACACCACCCGCCCCCCGCCCCCGCGCCUUCUUCCUCACGCCGCCCCCGCCCCCCACCCGUGCCUCCGGACCGCCCCCUCCUCCCCCUGGCCUCCCCUCACGCCGCCCCCCUCCUCCCCUAGCUCCCUCCACCGGCGGCCCUCCCUCCCCCGGCGCACAUCCUCCACUCCUCCUCCCCUUCCCUUCCCUCCCCUCCCCUCCCCUCUUCCUCCCCUGGCCGGAUCUGGCGCCCCUAGCUCCCCUUUCUUCCGCGGCCAGAUCUGGCGCCCUCCCGGCGGCGGGUCGUGGCGAUCGGGGCGGCGGCGGCGGAUCAGGCCGCGGGGCGGCGGCGGCGGCGGGUCGUGGCUACCGGGGCGGCGCCCUGCCCCUCCCCUCCCUCUCCAUCUCCGGCUGCCGUCCACCCCCUCCCCGGAUCCGCCCCCCUCCCCUCCGCGCGGCCAGCCCCUCCUCCCUCUCCGGCCGCCGCCCCGGCCCCUCCUCUCCCUUUCUCCGGCCACCGCCCCGCCCAUCUUCUCUGGAUCCGGCCGGAUCCGGCCGCCGCACAGCCCCUCCUCCCCGGAUCCGGUGGGCGCGGACUUCGUGGUGGUGGCGCCGGAUCCCUCCCCUCCCUCUCCAGAUAACUCCCUCCACUCCUCCGCUCUUCCCCUCUCUCGCGCGGCGGCCUCUCUCCGGCCGCCGCCCCGCCCCUCUCCCCGGAUCCGGGGGGGGGGGGACUCCGCCCCUCUGCCCCGGAUCCAGCUCCCCGACCCGCGAGUGGGGCGAGCUUGCUCAUGCGGUCGACGUCGAGGCCAGGGUGUGGUGGAGGUGGUGGCCGGCGGGUGUGGUGGUGGUGGCGGCGGCGGGCAUGGCGGCGCGGAGGCAAGGCACGGCGGCCGGUGGGAGGCACGGGUGCAAGGCGUCGACGGCAGGAGGCAAGGCACGGCAGCAUGGGAGGUGGUGCUGUGGUGGUGGUGCUGGCGGUGGUGGCGGCGGCGGAGCAGGAUGUGGUGGUGGCGGAGGAUGUUUUUUUUUCAAAAAUUUGUUGCCGAGUGUUUUCUCGGCACUCGGCAAAGACUUUACCGAGUGCCCGACACAAAACACUCGGCAACUCAGUGUUUGCCGACUGAAAAAUUGCCGUGUGCCGUUUGCCGAGUGUUACACUCGGCAAACGGUUCGCCGAGGGUUUUUUGCCCUUCGCCGAGUGCCCCUAGCACUCGGCAAUUUCACUAUCUCCCGUAGUGGUGGCUGGACUUAUGGGGGGAUCAUUGAUGGGGGACUAGUUGGAUACUUUUUGGCUGUUUUGGGAGUCCUUGGCAGCGGCUUCUCAGGGCGUACGUAGCCCAUUGUAGAUUCCAGCCGAGAAGAUUAAGGAAUUGUGACUGCAACCAUGUUACUUUUCUAGGACUCUGUUUCUGAUAUUGUUCCCGCUGCAUCUUUUCAUCCCCAUGGUGAAUGUUGCUGUUGAUCUGUAGAUUGGAUUUGUUCCUCGGUAGCUUUAUUAGAUUUGUGCUGAAUGAUAAUCUCUGCCUGUGAUAUUUUUCUUCAUUGCGGAUGUGUGCCGAGUAUUAUCCCCUUUGUUCAUUCUGUUGGCUUUUUUUAUUGUCUCUGUACUCGGCUGUUCAGCUUGUGCAGCUAAUGAUCUAAUGUAUUUUGUCGUAACUAUGUAUUUUUCGGAUGUGUGCCGAGUAUUAUCCCCUUUGUUUAUUCUGUUGGCUUGCUUUCAUUGAUCUUAAGAUAACUGGUGCUAUAAAUUCACACUAGCUGAUGCACUUGCAAAUAGCUAUGUAAAUAUGAAAAGAAGUAUUUUUUUAUCCUUUUGUUUGUUUGGCAUCAUAUCUGUUUAAAUGGCAUAGCAAUAAGAAUUUUUUGUUUUUGGGGAAUCAUAUCUGCUUAAAUGGUAUAGAAAAUGCUGAGUGCACUGUCAAAUAGAUUUUCCAGCAGUCUGCUUUCAGUUGUUUUUGCAAAUCCUCACAGGCCAGUGAACUGACUUUGUUUUUACCACCCCAUGCCAUUUAAAUGACUAAAUCAGUCAGCCUAAUACUAUAUAUGGUCAUGCUAUGAUCUUAUUUCUUGAAGCUCUAUAGGUCAACCCAUAAGGGUAACUUAGUUUUUCCUAUUCUGGCUGGGGAAGUGGAUACGAUGGCUAUCCUUGGUAGAGUUAAAUACAUUGGCGGCUCUUAGCGCGCCAAUGUGGCACCACAAUAUCGAACAUAUGUAGAAACCCCCUUGUUUUUUCUCAUAUCCCUCUCUCUCAGCGUCCUCUUCUCUUCUUCUCCUCUGUCUCCUCCCCUCCCAUCGCGUGCUUUAUUGCGCCGCCGCCAUCCGCCUCCAUGUAUGAACACGUCGUUUGUCAUGAAGAAGCAGUUGAUGAGGCAAUCAAGCAUGUGGUGCACAAGGUUCUUCUGCUGGCCAAGUCCGAGUCGAACAGCCGCGCAUUCAUUGGGGAAGCACGCGCCAGGCAUCACCAGGCUCCUCGUGCCCCUACUCUGCUCCAAGGACUCGGUGCUUCGACGCGCUGCUUUCCCUGUCCGGCGAGCGGGGAUCGUUGGGAGAUGAUCGAUGGAGGAUGGAGCUGAUCCUCCUGUACACGGUGCCGGUGGGGAGCAGGGAGCUGCGGAGCAGGUCCACGGGCGGCGCCAUUACAGCAGGUGCAGGCUAAGGGUAAUGAGCAGAUCGAGGCGAUGGAGGAGGACCCGCACGAGGUGCAGCUUCUUCGCCUCCUGCGCAAAGUCAGCGCCCAAGCAGCCGCUGAGGGACAGGCCGAGGCUUAGCUCGAUCUCAUCCGACUAAAUGGUGGCUGCACUCCCACAGUCCCACUGGUGCUCCUCCCUUCUGUCCGAACCUGCCGAGGAAAUCCCUCGAUGCCAUGGGUCCCGGCUGGACGACUACUCCUCCCACAGAUUGACUGAGGAAGAAGAGCUUCUCAGUGUCCAAAAAUUCAGUUACACUGGAAACAGCAACCAAUUACGUUCUUCCGGCUCAGCCAAGCCCCAAUCUCCUUGCUUCUGUGCGCCCCUGCUAAAUAUUCCAGAAACCAAUCUGGUUAGUUGUUUUUUCACAUUUUCAGUGCAUGCCGGUGCUGCUGUGUGCGGCAUGCAUGGAGUUGUCGUGGGAGUGCACGGUGGCUUAGCUGGUGCGCCAGUGCGCGGGCACGAACACAACGGUGAAGAUGGCAGGGCCAUCUCAAAGCUCCUGAGCACCUGCACGCGUCGCUGAGCAGGACAUGCUGCGACGGUGGGCGAGCGCUGCUAACGCCCUGGGGAAGAGCAGUGGGUGCAGAGAGAGGGAGCGAGGGAGAGGGGUUCUUGUAUAUGUUUGCUAGCGUGGCACCGUUUACGGUGCCCGCCUAAGUGGCAUUCACGUGUCAUUCAUCCCAAAUGGUGUUGCAAGGUUGAACCUAUUGUGGGAGGCUUUUGGUUUCCCUUGACAGUAUCACCAGUGAUAUCACUGCGUUCUGGUUAUGUAUGAAACACUUGUCCUUUUAAAACCUUUCUGAAUUUAGAAACGAAUUUGAAACAUUACCCUCAUUUCCAUGUUUUUCUAUCUUUUGUCCCUGUAAAAUCAAACUAAAUUUGAAUUAUUAUGUUCAGAACUACAAGCUGAUUUACUUGUCCCAUUUGCUAAUAACAGGGCCUUGUGAUUUCUAAUGAACAUUGCAGAGCAUGUUAUAAAGCGUAUGCAUGAACACCAAGGGGAUGAAACCAUUGGUAUAUUUCUCACAACCUUUUGAACUUAUCAUUUAGCAUAUUUGUGUUCUAGUGUGACGUUUCAGCCACGAGACAUGAGAAAUGUUAGCUAUGGAUUUUGGUUAUUCAUCAUGGGUUCACAGAUUUGUUUUUCUCUAAAAGAAUUGGGAAGUAGCUUUCUUUCUGGGUAUAUGUGGGGAAAUGCAUAUGCAAUCUUUUAUUUAUUGAGGUGACUGUAAAAUUCUUGUCUGACUGAAUAUGCGAUUUCAACCUACAUGCUAUACUUAGGGAAAUUUGUGAAUCUCCUAAUGUCUGCUGCAUGGCAUGAAUGCAUAUUUUACUGGUCCAUAAUGUGAAGUUCUGUAUAUAAACUUCUCGUGUUGACCCUUUAGAACAUGCUAACUGGAGAGUUUUCUAGAGUAGUUAAACAAGAGAUUUAGUUAAAUCUGCACACAUAGGUGGGGCCUGGCAUACCCUAAGAAUCGGCCUAGCCGGUCAGCCCAUUAGUAAAAAAAAAAGCACCGCAGUCAGCAGUCCCCACGUUGGUCUUCCUCGAGUCGCGACUCGCGAAGCUCCCAUCCUCCGAGUCCAAGAUGGUGGACUGUGUCGAGCGCGGGGCGGGCGAUUAGUUGCCCGGCCGCCGGCGGGGGAUGGCCGGACGGCCAGAUCGCCGACUCCUCUAGUCCUCCCUCCAGCCUCUGCGCUUCUUUCACAGUGGAGCUAGCGGCGAGGCGCCCGACCGACACCCUUCUUCCCAAAUCCCGGCAGCCCUACCUCGAUUUGGCCUCCUCCGAUCAUUUGAUAAUCAAUUUGAUGAAAUUAAUAUGGAGUUGCUUUCUUGUAUGGUUGCCUUCAAUCCUGCUAAUUCAUUUGCUUCAUUUGAUGCACAAAAGAUACAUAGACUUGCUAUAUUUUUAUCCACAAGACAUCACAAGCACGGAUUUGCUAAAACUUGAAUUCCAGCUCGAUAUUAUAUUGAUGAUGUGAGAUAGGAUGAUAGUUUCAAAGGCCUACAAGAUCUUGUUAACUGAGACUCAGUUAAGCUUGUUGAAACAAACAGGCAUAAUAUUUAUGACUUGGUUUACUUGCUUCUCAAAUUGGUAUUGGUUCUUCUUGUGGCGACAGCUAGUGUUGAAAGGGAUUUUUGUGCAAUGACUUUGAUCAAGAGUAAGCUAAGAAAUAAGAUGGGUGAUAGUCUUUUGGAUGAUUGUCUUAUCACAUUCAUUGAGAAAGAUAUUUUCUUUGAAGUGGAUGAAGAAGAUAUAAUUAAGACUUCAUAUCCAUUAGAAAUCGUAGGCUGGAGAAGAAGUAAUAUUUUAAUUUUCUUUGAACGUUAGGUCUGUAAGCUUCUUUUAAACUAUCUACAUUAUAAUUUAUGGACCUUUUAAUUUAACCGUUGAAUUCAUGAUAUUAUGAGAUUUUUUUAUCUAUGUUAUUAUUGUUUACCGAUUUAUUACCAAAUUAUUAGUUUGAUCUUACAAUAUUGUAUUUUGGAUGAUUGGCUCGGCAUACUCUAAGUUUAAAUCCUAGCUCCGCCACUGUUUGCACAUUAAUGUGGCUUAUAUGUGUGGAGUCACUUAACCUAUGCACUUGGACCUCCACUCCCUUAGGUUUUAUGAACCUAAUUUGACAGCCUGCUCGUCUUUUAUUUUCUACCAAUCAGCUAGGAACGAACAUGGUGAUGUUUGCAUCUCUGCCAUCAAUGGCUUACAUGUCAUUAUGUAUCACAUUAGCAAGUCUUGUUUUGUUAUUGGCUGGGAUGACGGGGACUCUAGCUGGAAUUGAAUCAAAGUGGUAGAUCACAGGGUAUUCAUUGCCAUGUAUUUCUGCAGUUGCAUGGACUUGCAUCAAACGGACCUUCCUACUUAUGUGAUUGUCCUAUAUGAUCUCCUUUGAUUUCAUUUGCACACUGUAAUCACAUUAGCUAGAACACUCGCUUUUUGCUUCAAAUUUGAAAUUCAUAUCAUGAUGGACUAGAACGCUGAAUUUCUUGAUUGCUGAGUUACUAAUCACAUUGUGGCGCUGCCAAAGAAGCUGGACUCUUCAUUGUUGUUGCCUUGUGGGCUGCCGUGUGCAAAGAACAAGAGCGCACGGUAUUAUAAUAGCAGAGCAGAACACAGACAAGCGACAAGGAGCGGAGCAGAGCAGAGCACAGCCAGGCACAAGCAGUAGAGUAGAGCAGAGCAACCGGGAGAGGAGAGGGCACAUAUGCAGAGUAGAGCAGAGCCAAGCGCAAGCAUUCAUGCACUCAAGCAUGCAGCAGAGGUGUAGCAAGGCAAGCACAAGCAGCAGAGCAGAGGGAAGGGAAGGCUGGGAGAUGAAUAGGCGAAUAGUUACCUGGACAGAGCAGAGGGAAUGGAGAUGAUGCAGAUGCUUCCGGAGACUCGAGAUUUGGAGAGGAACAAGGCCACGUUGUGAACAAGGUCUCCUUUCUCUUCUCUAUUUCCCGCGCAAGUACUUGUGCAUAGUGGCUGCCUCAUCCUCCAGGACGUCCACUUCAACCUGAGGCGGGUGCCACAGACAUCCUGGCUAUGCGACGGCUACCCCCAGCACACCCCCGGCGCCUAUGAACCAUGAUCCUAAUACUAUAAAUUGUCAACCUUGUAAUCUUAUUUCAAGCAUGCUCUCUAUGUCAACCUGUAAGGUUAACUUCGUUUUUCCUUUUCUGGGUAGGGGAGUGGAUAUUGCUGUUAUUUAUAUUAUGUUGAUAUUGGUUUCCACAUGUCAUUCACCCCAAAUGUGUUGCAAGGUUGAACCUAUCAUCGGAGGAAUUUUUUUCCCUUUACCUUUAUAUCACUACGCUCUGGUUAUGUAUGAAACACUUGUCUUCUUAAAAACCUUAAUUUAGAAACAAAUUUGAAACACUAUCUUCAUUUACAUCCUGUAUGUGUUUUCUACCUUUUGUCCUAUAUGAUCUGCUUUGAUUUGAUUUGUGCAUAGUUUUUUCAAUUCAGACCUGGUGAUUUCUGAGGUUCAUGUUGUGCUGAUAAGCAGCCUACUAUUCAGUAACACUUUCAUGUGGCAUGUUCAUGUUAGCUAGCUAGAAACACUGCUUUUAGCUUCAAAAUUCAAAUUCAUGACAUGAUGGACAUUGACAAUGAAUUUCUUGAUUGCCGAGCUAUGUACACUGUAAUUCAGACCUGGUGCUUUUAGUUUUUUUCUUGAUUGCCGAGCUAGAAACACUGUGCUUUUAGUUUUUUCAAUUCAGACCUGGUGAUUUCGGUUUUUUCAAUUCAGACCUGGUGAUUUCUGAGGUUCACGUGUCACACCGAUUUUAAGAACAAAAUCGAGUGCAUUAAAUAUACAUGUACGCUAGGAUCAGGUUACACACAUGUACGACAUAAGCGAAUAUCAAAGACAAUGCCAUAACGAAAUAAAGAGAGUAUUAAUCAUUAUUACAUGACCGAAAGUCUCAAAUAAACCACAAAAUCUAUUUAUUACAUAGCGGAACUUCUAAGAUAGCAACGUCUCCACAGGCAGCUGACUGAAGAACUGUAUGCCUAGAACUCUUCAAAAUCGUGCAGGUACUCCUCCAGAUUAGCUUGGUAUGAACAACGGUUUUGCAAGGGUGAGUACACUUAUGGUUGGUACUUAAUAAGUCGUGGGAAACAAUGUAGUGUAAGGCAAAUCAAGGUAUGGCUAAGGCUUAAACAGCAUCAGCUUUUAAUUUAGUUGGUCAAAUUUUAUUAGCAAUUAAUUAGACGUAAAUUUAUACCACCCGAAAUUAAACAAGAACAUGAAUAAAAUAAUAACAUAACCAUAAAUGAAAUGACAACAAUUUAAAUCCAUCUUUUCAUAGCAUUAUCAUGUGAGGGUCCAGUCCGUUCUUAACCGUGAGCACCGCUGAUCGAUCAGUUUUACACUCUGCAGAGGUUGUACAUCUUUACCCACAAGUCGCGUAAAAGUUCAAAAGAAUUUUGGACCCAACCAUGCGGUAUUUGCAAGGCACCAUACCACACUUCCAAGGUGUGAUUGCAUAUGAACGCUACGAGGCCUUUACAAAGAUUCAUUAGUAAGUGGUAACCCGCUAAGGUUUCGGUAUUUGGCGUGCACAACCUAUCACAGGCCGCUAAUGCAACGACUCAGUCCCCCCUCUUGCCUCAUCACGAGUAAGAUUACCCCAGACUAAGGUUUCUAAUUAUUCAGCCAAGAUCAGAACCAUUUAGUCUUGUGGUAGCACUGUUUUCCUGGGUGGUUCUCCAUGUUCCGAUUAAACAUAAUGGUCUUGUAUUAAUGGAAGGUAUAACAUAAAUAAUACCAAAUUAAUAAUAAUUCAGAUUAAAUCACCAUAACCAUAUUUGAGCACUAAGCAUGAGCUACCCAACAUAAAUUUAACCCGGUUGGUCAAGGCAAGGUAGAUAAAGUCUAGGAAAUUCUUAAUUGGGACCCAUCAAGUUUAAAUUAUACUUUGCAUGGUAUGUUGCAUAGAACAUGAAAGUAAAUGUGAAUAGGACUGAAAAGGAGUGAUUAGGGACACGACUUGCCUUUUUAACCUUGUUCUUGCUGUUCGUACUCUUCGAAAACUUUGAUCUUCAAAUCCCUUGAACUGCUGACCGUCUACACGCGUCACACGACCACAUACAAGCAAACAAAUAUAAUACAUAAGAAAACAGUACACCAAUCAUAAUUAAAUAGAAGAAACAAAUUUGAAAAGCUAUUCUACGCAUUAAAACGAAAACACGGAUACAAGGAACGUUAAAAACGGAGCUACAGUGCAAAAACUACGCUUAAAACAAGAUGCAGGGGUAUAACUACGAGAAACCAAACUUCCAGGGAUUUAAUUUUAAAUAAUUUUGAACUGCAGAAGGGGCAGCAGGGCAAAACGUAGAAAAUGCAGGGGCUUAAGCGCAAAAGCAUGGCUGCUGACUCAGCUGACUUGAUGUGGAUCGUCGGAUGGCGAUCCGGCGGCCGGCAGCUGCUGCGCUGACGUCAGCGACGGCGAGCGCCGGCGAAAAACGGCAGUUCGCCGGAAUCGCCCGGGAACGCGCGACUGGGUGCAGAUUUGAGCGAGGAUUAGACUAGCAGAUAGAAACGAGCGCAGUGAACUCAUUUGGGAUGCCUACGGCGAGGACUUGGCGACGGCAUCGGCUCCGGCGAGAACUUGCGGCAGGGAAACCAAAUAAAAUAAAAUAACACGGUUCAGAGAAGCGGCGCUGGAGGAACGCGAGCGAUUUUGCGUGCGAGCGGAAGAAAACACUGCGAGGAAGAUGACUGCGGGCCCUGCUUGUCUGCGGCAGGAGGAGAGCUGCGUGCGAGAAGAACCUGGCCACGAUCUGGGCCGUUGCCUUCGAUCUGGGCCGAGGCAAGCUAGCUGGCCCGCUGCUGCGGAAAGGUGCUGGGCCACGGGCGGAGCACAGCGUCGGGCCAGAAAGGAGAUGGCUGCUGCGAGGAAACAAAAGAAAAUGAACUGGGCUGCGACAGAGGAAAACUGGGCGUCGGCCAGAAAGAAGCUGCGUGCAGCUUGCUCUUGUUUCCGAACUAGAAACAGGAACUGACGGAAAGACAGAAAUCAAUUGGAGACUGAAACUGACGCCCCAGACUCUGAACUUCGAAAAAACAGGACAACCAGCCAACUGACAGAAAAAAAAAAGCUUAACAACCCAAAAGCAGUACACAACCACGAAACCAGGCCACAAGACUGAAAAAGCUUGAUAGGAACAUCUGGCGACUGAACCAAAAAACUACAGAACUGCAACUGAAGAACUAGAGAACAGAUAAAUAACUGAUUGAACUCUGAAACUGAAACACCAAAGAGCAGGAAGCUGACUGACGGAAAAUGCAAAACAGCAACCCAAGGUGAAACACAAAUUCUUCUUCAAGCAUUCAAACAAAGAGAUAUGCAACAGCAUGAAUGCUCAAUAAAAUCCUAUAUUUCAUUAAUUAAUUAGAAAAAAUGCUCAAAUGCCUAGAAAAAUGCAAAAGUGACCUUAUAUGCCUUAAACAAGCAAAUUCGUUUCUAGCGAUUUUUGGUAAAAUGCAAAAUUAGAGAUUUUGGGUGUUACAUCAUGUUGUGCUGAUAAGCAGCCUACUAUUCAGUAACACUUUCAUGUGGCAUGUUCAUGUUAGCUAGCUAGAAACACUGUGCUUUUAGCUUCAAAAUUAAAUUCAUGACAUGAUGGACAUUGACAAUGAAUUUCUUGAUUGCCGAGCUAUGUACACUGUAAUCACAUUGUGGGGCUGAUAAAAUAAGCAGCGUUGAGACACAUAACAAUUGAAUCUUAAGCUUCACACAGAAUCUGGACCAGUCAUCCUCAUUCCUGUCAUGCUGGAAAUGUCUUUGAUACAUUUCAAUCACAGGCAAUUGAAUUCGUACUGGGGAGGAUGGCAAUGGUGCAUGAAGAGAGAUCAAUGUGGCAAAUCUCACAUUGUUCAUUACCAGGUAUCUCCGAUUUCUGGUUAUUUUAAAUUUACCUUGACAUGUGACUUAUUGAGGUAUUGUAUUUCAUCUAAUGGUAGUUCUGAAUUUAUGGUAACCUUGGAUGGGGUUUGUCACUUUAUACACGCACGGACUUACAAAGGACAGCAAAUGAGUAUAUUUAGAGGGCUCCUGUCCAACCAUGGACUAUACUUAUGUACCCUUUUUUGACAUGGUAAUUUGAGGUUAAUGGAAAAGUAGCGAUAGUCGCCUCCAGCGAAGCUACCUUCUUCGAAAGCUCCGAGGCUGCUUUCUCGCUCUUAGCAAGCCGAUCCCUCGUAAUCAUCGAAGAGUAAGAGACCUACAGAUUUUAAAAACCAAGUUACCAAAAAUAACGAAGUAAAAGACAACACUCGCAAGACAAACCACCAAACUAUCUCAUAAUUGUACCUUCUUUACGAGGUUCGCCUCCAAGUUAAAGAGCUCUUCCAAGAUCAUUGACUUCACAGCUUGCUGAAAAUCUAUGCGCCAAAGGAUAUAGUCGUAAGCAUAAAAUAAAAAUUGGUAAAAACCAAGGACAGCAAAGCCAUCUACAAGCUGUUCUUACCCUCAUACUUUCGCACCUCAACGGCGAUCGGAACAACCUUCUCUCUAGCCUCGCCCUUAGACGCCACCACAAUCUUCCCGCCACACAAAUCCACAACCCCUCCUUUACCUUUGCCCUCUCCCGAAGUCGUCGUGCCCGCCUUCUCCACCCUUUUUGAACCGCCAACAUCUGCAUAGCGCUCGCAACCUUCACCUUCAGCCCCCCAGACCAAAGACAGGUUGUGAGGAUUAUAAACCCUACCUUCGGCGCAUGUAGCUAGAAUCUCCGUGCGCCCGCUCAAGCCCAGACACUCAUUCAGUCCCUGAAGCCCCGCCGGCAACCUCUCACCUACAUCAUAACAUUCAACUUUUAGCCUCACAUGAUCCUCACAACUAACCUUACCAACGCCCCCCAUAGUUUCUUCCAAGUCCUUCAAAAAUUUCGUUGAGGCCUCACCACAAUCAAAGAACCGUAGCAUCGAUAGAAACACCUCUACAUGCUUACCAGAUCUCACAGCUUCGGCACACCCACCCUUUGGAUCAGAUGAGAACGCAUCCACAAGCUUCGCCUUUUCGGUGGCAAACCCCCUCUCAAGUUUCCCAACAUCAGUCAAGAGAUGUUGCGCGCUCUUAAACUUCGAGCUUAUGGAAGGCACCGUGAUCUUGGUACCAGCUGCCGAAGACGCGUCAACCUUGGCACCCGUAACAGUAACAGGAGCAAAUCGAGGUUUCUUGGCGCCUCUUUUGAUCCGUGCGGCGGGCCCGGUGGAUGAAGGUGCAAGAGCUGGAACCUCCUUAGGAGGGCGCAUAGAGACAGGAACAACAUAUGCCGGAUUGCUCAAGUCGCCAGACGAAGCUGUCGACCACGAUGGCAACAUAGCAGACGAAGCCCCCGCGGUCAUUUCCUUCCUUUUUUGCGCCUCCAAAUUCAAGGUCUUUUGCUUCGCCUUAGCGGUCACUUGCAAUUCAAUAGUGAGCUUCACCAUGGGUACGAAGUCAAAUUUUGCCUUUUUCCUCUGCUCAAGACUAGCACCGCGACGGCGCCUCUUGCCCGUAACUUUGGGGUGAGGCAGAACCACAAUAUCAUACAAGUCAAAAAUCUAAGAUGAUGACAUUCCAUUUGUAUCCAUGAUUUAUAUUGUGUUCCUUGAAUAUCCAUUAAAGUCUACUUGAAUUGAUUUGCAAUUAUGUGAAUUGUAUGUGAAACUCUUUCCUUGUAUGGUUAUUCUAAAGUUGUCCCUAGUCGGAGUUCAUGUGAGGACACAUGAAUAUUAGACUAGCACAUGUAUUAGUUGAUGACUAUGUUUCACAAGUCAUGGACAUGAAGAUGUGGAACUAAUAAUGUGGGCACAUGUGGAGACACGUGCUAGGACUGACCCAACACGAGAAGUAGUUCUCUCUUUAUACAACAUAUACGCUUUGUCCUUAGACCUGAGAUUGUCGCAUGUACUCAAGAUGUGGAUCGACUUACUUAGGGGCUAUCAAAUUCUACGCCGUAACAGGGUAGUUAUAAAGGUAGCUUUCGGGUUUGUCAAGAAGCAUGCUAUGAGACAUGGUCAAUCAAGAUGGGAUUUGCCCCUCUCUGAUUGAGAGUGAUAUCUCUGGGCCCCUCGAGUGAUCGGAUCCGAAAAUGCAUGGCCAUGCUACAUACGAUUAAGAGUUAGCCUACAAAAGGAUUCCGAAUCAUAGGAUCGAGAAAGAGCGGUCGGCUUGAAGCUAGACCAAAUAUCGUGAGGCAAAGGGAAUAGCAUGUAUAUAAUGUUGUGAUGGUUCGUCUGAUAUGAUCUUCGUGUGCGUAUAGGAGUUGGCACGUCUUGCUAGAGGUCGCUACCGACUAUUGGGCCGAGUAGGAGUACUCAGGCCAUGUCUAUACGUAUCCGAACCCAUAGGGUCACACACUUAAGGGGCUGGAAGCCCAAUUCGGAUGUGAUCCGAAUUGGAUUAGGUUUAGAAGUACUAAUGGGCCUUGGACCUAGAGGCCCGUUAGGAACCUCUAUAAAUAGAGGGGUGGGGGCGCCCUAGGGUUUACACCUUUUUGGUGAAACACAUCUGCCGCGCCUCCCACGCCUUCGCCUGUUGCAACUCGCGGACCUAGCAGUCCGGCUUGCGACGCUUCCUCCCUGCACGUGUGGAUACCUUGGAAGUGUUGCUCCUGCAGCACUUGGACGAGCCGCCAACGAGCCACGACGAGCCACGAUGAGCCGACGAUGAGCCGCGGCACGAGGGGGAUCUUGCUGCACGUGGACGAGCUGCUGAGGAGCUGCUGGACGUCGAUGUGUUCGACUACGUACGACUACGCUGAUCGACUUCGCUGCAUCAACGCGAAUCUACAUCUUCCGCAUCAUUGCAUCGAGUGGUAAUCCCGUGAUCCUGAUACGGCAGUUUUCCUAGUUUACGCGGUAGAAAAUUUUGUUUUGUGCUAGUGUAGCCUAACUCAUAUCCCAACAACGUGUGCUAUAGGUCACGCAAGCCUGAAAAUGGCCACACCGGACACCGGGUACGAAAACAUGGGGGAUGGACCGAACAUUUGAAAAUGGCCUCCAUAUGUGUUUUCGGCUAUGAAAAUGUGUGUUAUAGGUCACAGAAGCUUGAAAACGGCCGCACCAGCCACUAGGGACGAAAACGUGGGGGAUGGACCAAAGACAUAAAAAAUAGCCUCCAGACGCGUGUUCGGCCAUGAAAACGUGUGGUAUAGGUCCUGGAAGGCCAAAAACAGCUACACCGGCCACCUGGGACGAAAAAGUUUGUGUAAGACCGAACACUUGAAAAUAGCCUCUGGACGCGUGUUCGGCUAUGAAAAGGUGUGUUAUAGGUCACACGAGCCCCAAAACAACCACAGCGAACACCAGCUACAAAAACAUGGGGGAUGGAUCGAAUAAUUGAAAAUGGCCUCCAGACGUUUGUUCGGCCAUGAAAUCGUGCGUUAUAGGUCGCGGGAGCCCGAAAACGGCCACACCGGCCACCGGGAAUGAAAAUGUGGGGGAUGGACCGAACAAUUAAAAAUGGCCUCCGGAUGUGUGUUCGGCCAUGAAAACGUAUGUUAUAGGUCACGGGAGCAUGAAAACGGCCGCACUGGCCACUGGGGACGAAACGUGGGGGAUGGACCGAAGACGUGAAAAUAGCCUCCAGACGCAUGUUCGGCCAUGAAAAUGUGUGCUAUAGGUCAUGCAAGGCCAAAAACAGCUGCACCAGCAACCGGGGACGAAACCAUGGCUGUCAAACCGAACGCUUGAAAAUCGCCUUCGGACGCGUGUUCGGAUAUGAAAACAUGUGUUGUAGGUCACGCGUGCCCGAAAACGUCCACAACGGACACCGGGUACAAAAACGUGGGGGAUGGAUCGAAUAACUGAAAAUGACCUCCGAACGCGUGUUCGGCCAUGAAAACGUGUGUUAUAGGUUGCGGGAGCCCAAAAAUGGCCACACCGGCCACCGAGGAUCAAAACGUGGGGGAUUGACCGAACAAUUAAAAAUGGCCUCCGAUUGUAUGUUCGGCCAUGAAAACGUGUGUUAUAGGUCAUGGGGGCCCAAAAAUGGCCGCACCAGCCACCAAGGACGAAAAUAUGGGAGAUGGACCAAAGACAUGAAAAUGGCCUCCAGAUGCAUGUUUGGACAAAAGUGUGUGCUAUAUGUCGUGCAAGGCCAAAAACAGCUACACCAGCCACCGGGACAAAAACGUGGGUGUUUGACUAAACAAGUGAAAAUGGCCUCCGGAAGCAUGUACGGCUAUGAAAAUGUGUGCUAUAGGUAAUGGAAGGCUAACAAAAGCUACACCGGCCACCGGGGACAAAAUCAUGGGUGUCAGACUGAACACUUCAAAAUGGCCUCCGGACGCGUGUCCGGCUAUCAAAACGUGUGUUAUAGGUCAUGCGAGCCCGAAAACAACCACACUGAACACCGGGUACAGAAACAUGGGGGAUGGACUGAAUAACUGAAAAUGGCCUCUAGACGCGUGUUCGGUCAUGAAAACAUGUGUUGUAGGAUGCGGGAGCCCGAAAACGGCCACACCGGCCACCAGGGCAUGGACCAAACAAUUGAAAAUGGCCUCCGGAUGUGUGUUCGGCCAUGAAAACGUGUGUUAUAGGUCACGGGAGCCCAAAAAUAGCCGCACCGACCACUGGGGAUGAAAUCGUGGGGGAUGGACCGAAGAUGUGAAAAUGGCCUCCAGAUGCGUGUUCGGCCAUGAAAACGUGCGCUAUAAGUCAUGUAAGGCUAAAAAUUGCUACACCGGGACUAAAGCAUCCCCCAUGAGUUACAAUAAAAGGAUUGUAUCCUCUACUCAGUCGGAUGUACUGUGUAGGUGAGAUGGUAAGGAAGCUAUGCGCGAGGUUUGAGGUUGUGGGUUGAAAUCCUACGCACCGCGCGCACACGCGCAUAUUUUGUGUGAAAAAUCAUGUGACUUGUGAUCGGCCAAGGAGAAGUGGGUGCAGCUGUGGCUUAAGUGGCUGAGGCACGCUGCCAUAGACAUCUCCGAUUUGCUCGAAGACUACCAAGACACUAGCAAUAACAAGAACUACUGCUCUUCCUAGCAGACUCUUUACAACCACUUUAAAGCUGUGCAUUUCUCAAUGUAAUUUCGUAGAAGGCAAUCGAUCCAACCAAGCGACUAAAUCAUUUGUUCUUGCCAAUGAUGUACAUCAGGUUUUCUAUAUGAAGGACAUGUCUAGCAAACCUAAGAUUUUAGAAGAAAAAGAAAAAUUAUGGGAGUCAAUAAUAAAUCAGGCCAAUCAGGAGAUUAUAGUAAGCUCGAUGGUAUGCCUCCAUUCGAUGUCGAAGUUGGCCCAAGCAUCAUGUUAGCCAAAGAUCAAAUGUUCGUGCAUUGCUACGGUAAAGAUCAAUUGUGUCUUUUAAACCCAUGGAAUUUUUUAUCUAUGUUUUUAUUACACUUAAUGGAUGUCUACACAUUUGCUAGAAAAUCAAAAUAAUUUUGACUUAAUUAUUUCUUUCAACUCAAAUACUCAUUAAAUUUCUACCUUUUUAUUUAAGCAAGAGAGUUGCUCAAAAAAUGGAUACGUAACCAUGUUGUAUCAUACAAAGCAACCACAUUUCACAUAUAGUCUGGCUUAGCAAACACCAUUGUUGUCUUAACAUAGUGUUCAUGAGUUAGUAGACAUGGAUCUAUUUCUAAUUGCAAGUAGUGCAGCGUACAACCAGCCUGCACCGCCGCAGCUCAAUAUGCGAUAAUUUUUUAUCUUCCCAUGUAAUUUUUCUACUCUAGUACAUAUUGAACUCCACAUAAAUGUCAUGUUCUUUCACGCCACAGACGGUUUCUAAAGUUUGGAACUAAAUAGAUAGCCAAAAAUUUUAAAAAAAUAUUUAUAUGGAUACAUGUAUGUUCUUUGCAAACUAACAAUAUUGUUUACAAUAUCAAAAGGAAUAUGGCUAUGAUCAUUGCCGCAUAUGGCAGGUGAUGGUAGAUGCCGUAUGGGGUUUCUUUAACUUAAUUGUAUAAUAAGCUGAAAUACAUUUUCUAUUUGCAAAUGAAUCAUAGCUGAAAGUGGUGGGAUUGUAGAACCGCCGGCCAUCGUGUCCUUGUAGGACCGCUGCACGAGCCUGUGAGCCACCAGCCACCAUGCGCCCAAGGGCCAUCACCACGCCAUAAGAGGAUGCUGUCUACCCGGUUUCGCGCGCCUGUGCUAGCUGCCUGAACCUGGGCCGCCGCCGGUCGCCUGCCCAGCCGCGCGUUGCGCCAGGGUUUUGCUGGUGACGACCAUGGCCUUCGCGAUCAAAUUAAAAAGUUAUCAACUGCAAAGUAUUAGGUCUCGUUGAGCUCUACAAUUUUGAUAUAAAGUUUCUAUUCAUCCGAGAUCAAAUAAAAAAUUUGAUACUCAAAGCAUAAAUCCAUUAAUCUAGUCUUGCUAAUCCUUACCACCAAAUAAAAAACUAGCAUGUGUUGUGUGUUUGUGACCCUAAACGAUCACAAAUGAAUAACUUAUGGGCCUUGCUAGCGCCCGGAUGUCCAGGCCGGGGCACUAGCAUCAGACCCACGAGUAGCCGUCCGAUCAGGUUCGACACCACUUCAGGAUCUGGCUUAAAAAGAAGUCCCACCGAAACAUUGUUCCAUGUUGCAUGAAGCAACCCACUACCGUCGCCAGGUCUAGAGCAAGCACCACCUUCAAAUGUGCUGCUCACCCUAGCUAAAUAGGGGCAUUAAAAUAUUUCUCGCAUAUCCUUCUCAAAUUAAACAAAAUCGCAACAUCUGAAAAUUUUUACAGAAAACCAUGAAACAUAUCGAUUAGAUAGAUGUAACAAGAUGGAAUAUGGUAUAUGCAACAUAUAGGUUCCGAAAAGCAGAUGAAAUAUUAUGUAAUGAUUCUUGAAACAGUCAAGAAAAAUAGAUGUAACAUCUAAAAUUAAGAAAAGAAGCUUUAUGCAAAUUGCAAAAAGCUGAAACAAGUGGUUGAAACAUUUCAAAUCACCAAAUGCCACAUUUGAAAUGACCAGAUGAAACAUCACGAAAUCAAUUGCAACAGUUGAAGAUGAAAACAUUCAAAUGCCUUGCCUUUCUCCAAAUUUGACCCUCCAAGCAUGAGUCCAGCCAUUUGCACAUUAGACCCUUGGGAGGAGCUCACCGGAGAACAACAAGACCGUGUUAUCCAACAAUUUUCAGAUCAAAUUGCAACAUAAAGAACAAAGCAUUGCAACAUCUGGCAUCACGAGCUACAACAGCAACCAGUUAGGAUCAGGAGAAAGAGGGCAAACACAAGCCUAACAAUGAGUUAUAUCCGGUUUAAACAAGGAUAAAAAUGAGUGUAUUUUACACUCAUCAUGUUGUCUUUUCGCAGCUGUACCGCCUUUAGCGUGUUGUAUUGUUCCUAACACCAAGUCUCCGAGGCCCGAAAAAAUAAGGAAAGUGGUAGCAGCUCAGAAAUCGACUAAGUUUCUUUCCCCCUUUGGCUUUCCUACUAGGAUUCGGAAUCCUCUUUCGUAUGACAAUCUUAAUGAUCUCCCAUAGUCCAAAACUCACAAAAACAUCAAAAAUCCACCGAGAAUAAAUUAAGUAAAAAAACAUGCACACACAGAUAAUAAUAGUAAUCAUGUUUCAUUAUGAUUGCUAAGGUCAGACACAAUACAUAAACAUAUUAGACUGAGUGACCCACCUCACCUCAGAGUAUGCACCAUGUCUGAGUGACCCACCUCACCUUGCCAGGACACUGGUCCUGCCCUCGUGGUUCACGCGCCCUCGUGGUUCAGCAGUGGUCAGUACACAAAUCUAGCUGCCAGUCGGAUCCAAGGGCAGGCAUUUGCAUUGUGGUUGUGUUUGAACAUGGAGAUGUCAUUAUUAUUGUCAGGCACCAUACAUCCUCUCUCAGUUUCACUCCGCCUCACACACGGAUAGCACACCAGGGACCCGACACCAUGCAUGCCGAUUUCAUAUUAUUAAUAUUUAAUUUUUUUAAUGGUUGUUGAAACUAUAUUGUUGAUAUUUUUAUACAUAAUUUACGACCUAAUUUGGAUAUAUUUUUGAAAUAUUCCGAAAUCUUAAAUUCACACGUCUAGAGAUACAGUUAGUCCAAUCUGAUGUUUCCGAUUAUAAAAAUGAACAUAAAGAGAUAGGAAGCGAGAGACGUGAGGGGGAAAGUUAAAUUAGGGCCUAAGGGGUGAAGUUAGGGUUCCAGGUGAGCUGUCAUCACUACGUGUUUUUAAUCGAAAUUGGAAUGUCAGCAAUCGUCAGAUCUUGAGCCAACAGUUGAGACUGCCUCGGAAUGGUAAUUAGGUCUGCGCGAGCUUGCAUUGUGGCCUUCCUUGAAACCUUGGACAUAGGUGUUAUAUUAUUAUGUUCUUGCCAGCACACAGCAGUGAAGGACGACACAGUUGAGAUGUGCAUCACAUUUUCUAUAUGAAGGAUAUGUUUAGCAAACCUAAGAUUUUAGAAUAAAAAGAAAAAUCAUGGGAGCCAAAGCGCCACAUAGUUCUUCCAGGUAAAAAAAAAUCAUCCACUGGACCAGCACAUAGUAACGAUCCAAAAAGUCCAUAUUAAGAUUUUUUGAUAGCAGAAAAAACAUAAAAUGUCUAAUAUUUGUAGUAUUAAAAGGAAAAAUAAUAUAUUCACGUGACCUUUUUCCCGUAGCAAGGCACCGGUACGUGGUCAGACUUAAUGCACGAUGCCUAAGCAUCCAUUGGGCCUACCCUCGUGUGGAUCACGCGCAACAGGACACGGCUCACAAGCUAUGAUGUGCAGCAGUCGCUCAGAUGGCUGAAAGGUACCCUUAAUUUGAAUGGUACCAUAUAUAUAUAUAUAUAUAUAUAUAUAGUAAACAAGACAAACCACCGUUGAUACUACUUUGCACUACUUGAUACAUAUAUCUCCACCAAAAGCGAGGCACGUGGGGAGGAGAGAUAUGUGGUUGAUGGUGCGGGCACGUGGCGAGUGCACCGUACGAAAAUUUUGCUCGUGUCGGACGACUGAUGUGAAGCAUUACCCAAUCUUAAUUAUCUCCCAUAAUCCAAAACUCACAAAAACAUCAAAAAUCCGCCGAGAAUAAAUUAAGUAAACCAUGCACACACAGAUAAUAAAAUUGCUAAUAAGGCCAGAGACAAUACAUAAACAUAUUAGACUGUUCAUGACACAUAUCACGGUGGAUAGUGUCUGUGUCCUUAUUACAAGCAAUGAGAGAUGCUUGUCACCACACACACGCGCACAGAUGCACAACAUACAUAUAGUUGAGACCAACAGAUGGAUCAACUAGAGGUCACCCCAUAUGGUGAACAAUUUAUUGGAGAUAAACAUUAACAUAACUUGGCCAUAGCUUGAAGCAUAGCAACAUAUGCCUAUGAACGGCGUUCAUGCUAUCAUUUUAGGCUUGUCCGCUUCUUCCAUCUUAGCAAGCACUUCCAUUUCUACCAUCUUAGAAGCAACUGUCAAAUUGAGAUAUGGAAAUCCCAUUAGCGCAUGAGUUAAUUUUGCAGUGAAAAUAGAGUACAAGAUAUCUUCAUGAUGUAAGUAACAUGCCUGAAGUUGUGAGAUGGGAAGUGAAGUCAACAAAUUACAUUAACGGAAAUGCAUGGAAGGCCACACAUACGUAUUAGUCCAUGAUAUGCUACAAAGCUUGUAUGUACAUAUAGCAAAUUAAAUGCAUUAAUUGAAUAGAGUGAGUUUAGUGAAUUUACCAGAAUCGUCCAGAAAACAUGGGAAACAGCAAGUGUUCUUGCAGACUGCGUCGGUGCCACCCACAGCAAUACAACCAAAACAACAUGCUUUUGCCCGAGCGGCUGCGCAGCAGCCGCACUCUGCCGCGGUGGCCGAGUUAGCAUUGAGGCUCAAGAUGACCAGGCACAUGAUCACCAUCAAAGCGGUGGUAGUCCUCUUUCCCUCCAUUGCCUCCUCUUGCUGCUACCUUCCUUGGUUACCUAGCUAAGUUUAUUGGUUUUGUGUUGAGAGGUGAUUCUUGCAUUGAAUGGACGUUGCCGCGGCUGCAAUUUAUAGGCAGCUGCGCUAUGUGAUGAUAUGGACAAGGUGCAAAUGGGUGGUCCUGAUAUGGAUAAGGUGCAUGCGAAUGGCUGUCUACUUGUAUAGUGGCGCUCCAAUGUACAUACGUAUGUAUCUUAUGCAUGUAUACAGUUGAUGGAUGUACAUGUUUGUUGCACAAAUUAUUCUGAACCAACUCUUCAUAACAGGUCUUUGUUACCAAGUAAUUUUACUUUUGCACGUUUCAGCCGAGAGGCAGAAGAGAAUAUUUUACAGAGAGGGCAGAGAAGGAGGUUGGCGGAGGCGCCGUGGUAGGGUUCCCCGUGUCGCCAAGAUUUUUGCAUUUUAGAUGUGUGUAUUGAUCACUUCGUCGUGCUCGCGGGGCCCAACUCCAGGUUGUACCCCAGCAGACCACGUUCUGUUUCUCUGCCUCCAAUGAGCAUGCAUGCCUCCACAAGGACCACAAGACUUAGUAAAAAAGCUAAACUUUGCAACACGAUGUAUACAGAACGUUUUGAAAUGUACUCUCGUUAGGCAUUCACCUCCUUAACAAUCACUGCGACUGUAAAAGAGGUACAUCGACGCUAGCUAAAUAAACCACUAUAAGAUUUAGCAAGAGAUCAUUUUAUACAAUCCUGUAACGAAACAAUUUGACAAUUAUAGUGUCCAUAUAUUUUGACAAAAAAACGUUUAAAUUAUAUAAGGAGGUGGGCCCGAAAACGGUUGGAUUACAUCGAGAACGUUUUGAAACAGUUGGCGGAGCAGGAUUCUGGCGUGGAGCAUCUACAUUGUCGCGCGCGCGGACUGCCGGAGUAGGCACGCUCGACUUGUCCCAUCGCCAGCUAAAUGAUUUAGUACCGGAUGGUCUCUAGUACCGGUUGGAGCUACCGUCCACCAGGAGCUUUUCUAGUUUGGAACUGGUACUAAUGCUAAUAUUAGUAUCAGGUCAAAAACAAUCGGUACUAAGGCUAGGGAUGACACGUCAUUUUUCUAGUAGUGUGUGCAAUUGGUUUUGUAAUUAGUCUAUAUUUAAUACUUCUAAUUAGUAUCUACACAUUUUAUGUGACAGGGACUGAACUUUAGUCCGUGGAACCAAACACCCCAUAAGUAUGUUUGGUGCUGUAAGGAUUUCGGUUUUAUUUAAUUUCCUAGGCAUUUAAAUUUCUUUCUAAAAUAAGUUAAUGAAUCAUAGGAUCUCAUUGUUGUAUUCAAGCUGGUGCAUUGAUUUUGCCUAUAAAACCCGCCGCGGUCUUCGCAGCCCCCAUCAAACCCUAGCGCCCUUGCCACAAGCUCAGCACCGCUGCCGCCCGAGCUCGAGCACUAGCACCCACCCAUCGCCGUUGCCUUCCCGUCGAUGGGAUCACCGCCCGGAGCUUCGCAUCGUGGUAAGGAAGCCGCCCGUGAAGAUCCCAUGUGCUCCUAUGCCCUCUACCGCGUCCCCGAGUUCCCGGAGUUGCUAGUCUCCCACCGAGCCGACUCUCCGAGCUUCACGUCACUGGUGCCGCUCCGAAGACCUAGUUCGGUUCGCCAUGCACCUCGCUUCAUCCUGAGCUAAACCCCAUAAUGAAUGGUGGUCGGAUGCUCGCCGCCACGGCGCGUCGUCUUUUCUGUCGCCCGUGCAUUGCCUAUCCCCUUCCAGCCGAUUGCAGCUGUCCGAUCGCAAACCGGUGGCCCUGAUCGGAUACCAAGGUCAAUACCGGUCGAACCGAGCCGUGCGCUGCUUUUGCAAGAAGGCCCCUGUUUUUCUCUCUUUUUGCACCUGAGGUCCUACGCAGUUCAAAAGUAAUAAGAUCUAGGUCCUUUUUCUUUUGUUUUAGCCCGUGUUCUUUUAUAAAAUCCCGCCCACUAUUCUGUUUGGUCUUUUGACGCGUUAGACCUUCUUUUUAUAUGUUUAAUUAGGUUUUAGGUCUCGAUUUCUUUAAGUUUAGCCCUUGAAAGUUUAGUUCUCUCGCAGUUAAGCCCCUGAACCUUGUUUAGCUCAUAUCUUAAGCGUUUUAAAUCCGUUUUAACAGAUUCUUGCGCCUAUAAGUUCAUGUUGACGCAUAGAUUAGUUGACUUAUACGAACCUUGCUGAUUCAGCUCCUUGAUUGUGCUUCAGAUCUCGCUAGGGAAGAAUAAUGGAUGGGCUUUGGUUGAGCUUGUAGAUCGACUUGCAGUUGCAGUGAAUGAGCAGAGGAUUGGCAGUGAAUAAGAUCAGGCCGCUGCCCUGCUUGGUAGGGAAAAUAUCUGCUUGCUACCAAGGCCUGUGACGCAUGGACCCCAUUGAGAGUGCAUUAUUGACAAGGACUUAAAGCCAAGGGCUCCACACCUGUCAUUGAUCAGCUGUCUGCUGGGCGCUGCAAGGAGGUAGUGCAUGUUUGACAUAAAGAAGCAGGUGGCCCAGGAUUUACGAAAAAUAAGGAUCUAUUUGAUACCCUUGCUUAUAUUUAGGGGCUAAAAGUUGCUUAUUUGAAGUUGCUUAUUUUUAAUCCUAGCUGUUUGAUUGCAUGGGCUAAAGAGCAUUGAAUGAGGUGGAUAUUGUCAUGUUUGCCUCUAAUGAUUGCUUCCCAUCACAUUUCUCCCCCCUCAUUCAACGAGGGAAGGAGGUGUAAAGUGCACCUUUUAGCCCCGAUAAGUAACCCUUGUGUUGUUUACGGGCUGAACAUAAGUAGCUAAAGUUUAGCUCCAAUAAACAAGAGUGUUUGGUAUUUUUGGGGUUAAAAGGGGCUAAACUUUAGCUGCUUAUGCAUAAGCAAGGCCAUCCAAAUAGGCCCUAAGUAUGUUUGGCGUUGUAAGUAGGUUUUAUUUAAUUUCCUAGGCAUUUAAAUUUCUUUCUAAAAUAAGUUAAUGAAUCAUAGGAGUUCAUUGUUGCAUUCACGCUGGUGCAUUGAUUUUGCCUACAAAACCUGCUGCCGUUUCCGCAGCUCCCAUCAAACCCUAGCACCCCCGCCACGAGCUCCAGCGCCGCUGCCGCCCGAGCUUGAGCACUAGCGCACACCCAUCGCCGUCGCCUUCCUAUCAAUGGGAUCACCGCCCGGAGCCCGUGUCAUGGUAAAGAAGCCGCCCGUGAAGAUCCCGUCCACUCUCGUGCCCUCUACCGCGUCCUCGAGUUCACCGGAGUUGCCAGUCUGCCACCCAGCCGCCUCUCCGAGCUUCAUGUUGUCGUUGCCACUCUAGCUGCCUCUCUGAAGACCUAGAUCGGUUUGCCGUGCACCCCGCUUCAUCCUGAGUUAAACCCCAUCAUGCCACGUCAUAGUAAGGAAGCUGCUCAUGAAGAUCCCGUGCGCUCCCGUGCCCUCUACCGCGUCCCCAAGUUCACUGGAGUUGCUAGUCCACCACCGAGCCGCCUCUCCGAGCUUCACUUCACAGUCGCUGCUCCAGCCACCACUCUGAAGACCUAGAUCAGUUCGCUGUGCACCCCACCUCAUCCUGAGCUAAACCCCAUGACGAACUGUGGUCGGAUGCUCAUUUUCGAGUGAAUUCCGGCGAGAUGGUCGCCCGCCGCCGCCAUCUCCAUCGCCCAUGCACCGCCUGUCCCCUUCCAGCCGAUGUCCGAUUGCAAACCGAUAGCCGAAAUCGGAUGUGGUCACCAGGAUUAAUACCAGUCAAACUAAGCCACGCGUGCCGCUUUUGCAAGAAGGCCCCUAUUUUUCCCUCUUUUUGCACUUGAGGUCCUAUGCAGUUCAAAAGUAAUUAGAUCAAGGUCCUUUUUCUUAUGUUUUAGCCCUAUUCUUUCAUAAAAUCCCGGCUGCCAUCCUGUUUGAAAUAGAUACGGUUAUAGAUAUGCAAACAUCUGCAUAUUUCCAACCGUAUCUCUUUCGAACGGGAGACGCCUAACUAGGUUACGUGACAUACGAACAUCAUACGGAUAGAGAGGGGUAGGAUGUCUCACCUUGCUAUCCUACAAAGUGACGACUCGAGGACAGUAAUGUAGCCUCUCCUUCAAAAAAAGAACAUACUACUAUCAAGUUAAAUUUUUGACAGCACCUCCCCUGCACGUGGAGGUUUCCAUAACCUGCAUCAAAUAAAACGGCACGAUGGCUGACAACCACAUCUACAGCACCAGAAUGGCACGAUGGCCGACUUCCACAUAAAGUUCUUAUACCUUAGAUUGCCAAGUCAAACAUCCUUUUCUAAUUUCUAAAACAAAAGCCCUCCCACCUCUCUAUCUUAUACUUUCCUAUUUACUAAUUGCUUUUGUAAUUUCUAAUUUCUAUUUCAUCCUACCACCUCUGUACCCUUUUCUCAUUUCUAAUUCCAAUUUUCUAACUUGAAGAGCAAAGAUUGAUUACUAGGAGGGGUGAGGGACGCCGGCCUAGAGAGGCGAGGGGACGUCCGGCGGCGGCGGGUGCGUCGGGGGUAGGAUGCCAGGGGCGGCUGCAGGGGCGCCGGGUUGGGGGCGGCCGGGAUCGAGGGCACCAGUAGCGGGGGCACCGGGCCGGGGGCGGCCGGCGGGGCGGGACGCCAGGGCCGGGGCGACGGGCGCCGGUGGCGAGGCCGCCCGGCCGGUGGUGGCCGGCGUGGCGCCUGGGCCGGGGGGGGGGGGCGGGCGGGGUGCGGCGCGGCGCGCCGGGGCAGGGCGCCGAGGCUGGGUGGUGGGGUACGGGGCGGCGGGCGGGGGGUGGGGGGAGGGUCGGCGGCGGGGCGCGGGGGCGGCCAGCGGCGACGGCGGAGGGCGUCGGUGGUGUUUCGGAAGUGAUACGGAGGGGGUAGAGAGAUUCGUUUUCGCGGCUGAGUGUUCGAGUCAGAAGGCCGUGCGGCUUAAGUCAGGUGGUUUGCCGAGUGCGCGCGAUCUGGCACUCGGCAAAGUCAGAAGUUUUGCCGAGUGUCAGAUCGCGGGCACUCGGCAACUGCAGCUUUUGUCGAGUGCCCUGGAUUCGGCACUCGGCAAAGUGAAGUUUUAAUUUUUUUUAAAAAAAUUUAAUCGGAACACGGGCGUGCCAGCGGGCCCGUGACAUACUUUGCCGAGUGUGUAGCAAAAACACUCGGCAAAAUAUUAUCUUUACCGAGUGUUUUCGCUAGGCACUCGGCAAAGUACACUUAUAUUUCAUGUACACUUUUUCAAUAACGUGUUUUACUAACCUUUUUCUGAUAUACUUGGGAAAAACCUUAUCAAAUUCACUCAACAAUGGAUAUAUGGUUUUUCUACUGACAUUAUUCCAUUAUUUCAUUCAGUUAUAGCUCAAAUUGAAUUUAUAUCUAUUAAAAAUCAAUAAUUGCAUUUAAUAAAUAAAAAAUACCAAACGGAUCUGAAAAAUUUCCAAAAUUUGACAUGAACCAAUCUAUGUUGUAUGUUGCCUGUACAAAAAGCUUUGAAGUCAAACCCCAAUUCAAGUGUCACUUGGACUCCAAAUCUUAUCGGAUCCUUUCUAACUUCUAUGAAUCCUUUCGGGAGAUGAGUCGGUUUGUAAGCAUCAUAUGUCAUAAAUUGGGCGAAACCUUCUCAAUUUUUUACCACAGCCUCCACAUAUAAUAUCAUGACACCUUGACAAAUCUUGUGAUUUUCAGACUUCGUUUGCUUUUUUUAGAAUUUAACAACCAUUCAACCACAUGUUCGUGAUCGUGUUUUCUAAAAAAAUGUUCAAAAUUUCUUUUCAUUUCCUGGUUGAGACCUCAAUCCGGAUUGAAUAAUAUGAAUAUGAUUUUUUCACUGAUUUUAAUCCAUUAUUUAAAUCACUUGCAGUUAAAUUUGACUUAAAUAAACAAAUUCCUAUUAAUGCUAUCAAUUCAUUAAAAAUAGCAAACAGAGAAAAAAUAGACCAACUUUUAAGAUGGAUUACCAAAUGUCAUAUGUGGGGAGUAGAAAAAGUGUGGAGAGCAGAGGUGGAAAAAAAAGUUUUGCCUUUGCCAAGUGCCUACACAAACACUCAACAAACUUUGCGGAGUGCCUAUUGAAAACACUCAGCGAACUUCUGAGUUUGCCGAGUGUCUGGAGGGAGCACUCGGCAACCUACUUAUUUGCCGAGUGUCCGCGUCGGACACUCAGCAAAGUACUAACGGCUGGCACACUCCCCUAACGGACGGCGCACGUGCAAGCCAUGUGCUGGAGAUUUAUCGAGUGUCAAAUCGUUGCCGAGUGUCGUGUGGAUGUUUGCCGAGUGUCUUAUUUGUGACACUCGGCAAAGCUAUUGUUUGCCGAGUGUAUUAUUUAUGCCGAGUGUCUUCCAGUAUACACUCGGCAAAUGAUGUCUUUGCCGAGUGCUCGACAUAAAGCACUCGGCAAAAAUUUUACACUCGGCAACAUUCCUGUUUCCGGUAGUGAGUGACCCGGGACUAAAGACCCCCGUUGUCUCUGAUUGCUUUAUUCCGGAUGGAUUUUCAGGAGAUUUGCUCCCUACCAAUAGGGACUAAAGGCAAGUUUUCCACUUAUAGCAAACCAGUUAGCCCAUUGUUGAUGGAACGCAUCACUAGAAACAGCUCGGGAUCCACUUGUCCAAUAAUCGAGAGGGCCUAUAUAUGGACCACGUGUGCGGAUCCCUAAUUAGGAAAAAAGAAUAAUGGAGUAGGACAUCUCCAUGCUCACCUAGUAGCCGCUGCUAGCUUGUGCGUGUGGAACACGAGUGCCGGCCCAGUUGGCGCUAAGACAUCGUACGUGCAUUAAGGCUACGAUCUCUUUCUUCUAACUCAUGCUUGUGCUAUUAUACAUUAUUGCAUGAUCAUCAAGAUAAGAUCGUAUAGUGACUGAGUGAGACAUGUAUGUACUAACAUGCAUUUAAGCCUCGAACUGUGUGUUGUUACGUGAGCUGCCUCCUCACCUCGCCUCUGAAUUAUUGAACCGUUUCCAACAGUGUUGGUCUCAAAUAAAUUUGACACCAAACAGAUUUAUGAAGAAGAGAGAAUAAUACUUGGAAUUGGAAAAAGUUUAUCUCUCUUUACAAUGGAGUAGGGCUCCCUUUUAUAGUGACCCAUAAGCCACUUUACAUUUGGAAAAUGUCCUUCCUCAACCACUACAUUAAUUCCUAGGAUAUGCUGUACAUAAAGGUCAUUUGAGGUAACGUGUACAAAUGAACUCUUCCACAUGGUCACGUUUCUCAUGCCUCCUGUUUUCCAACCUCGAGACAUCAUCUUCACGCCAAGUUGAUCAUCUAGCCUCGAGGCUCCAUCCACGAUCCAGAAUGAACGUCCAGGCUUGAGGCUCCUUCUUCGUUAAGCUUUGUUGAGAACUCAUAACCUCACAUAGUUCUCCUCCGAGUAUUGUUCCCGACUCAGAACACUCGAGGUUUAGCUCAGUUGGAGUUUAGCUAUUACUGUUGCUAGUCACCAGCCUCGAGCCCCUCCAGAAGCAAGGUGAUGCGAGGGUACGAGUUUUACUAUUAAAGGUGUUUCCAUAGAAUGUGCGAGGUUAAAGCACUUGCAGCAAAAGCGUGGAGCUGCUUUCAACCAGAGUGCAAUAAUGCAGCCGUGCCCAUCUUGGUCUUGGUCUCCGCCUGAACUAUAGCAGAUGCUGGCAGCGGUAGCAGGGUGGUCCAUUAUAUCUAUGGAUGGCAAUGGUCGGAUUCGGAUGGAAUCGAAUUCGAAUAGCACUUUUUACCACAUACUAAUUCAAAUCCGAAUUCGGAUUCGGAUGUUCUCGAAUGCGAAUGCAAAAUGGAUGGUUCGAAUUCGAAUACUUAGCGGAUUUUUGCAUAAUAUUAAUCGAAUAGAAUUCAUUAAAUUUAGCCAAGAAAUUAAAUUUUCUGAAAUUAAAUACUUUCCCUUCGCCCCAGCGGCGGCCUAACUCCCAGGACGGUGGCGUGCGGGGCCCGAGCAUCCCUGGCCUCUAGUGGCGUGGCGGGGCGGCAUCCAGCAGCAGCGGCGGGGCUCGGCCUCCGGUGGCGCGCGGCCAGCCCGACCUACCCGGUCAGAGGUGGCGCAGCGGUGCGCGGGCCUCCCCGACCAGAGCCGGUGGGGAGCGGUGCGCGGGGAGGACCUCCCCAGCCGGAGGUAGCAGGGCGCGACCUCCCCGGCCGGAGGUGGCUCCCUGUGGGGGCGCGGCCGUGACAGCUAGCGAGGCAAUAAUUGCUUCCGUACGCAGCAAUAAUUGCUUGUGCGACACCGUGUUAUUACUCUGGUACAGUACUCCCUCCGUUGCAGUACACUGGUCCAGGCGUCAGGACACUGCUCCUGCCCUCGUGGUUCACGUGCAUCAGGCCAGCAGACAAGCUAUGAUGUUGCCAACAGUGUUUGUUUGAACAUGGAGAUGUCAUUGUGAUUGUCAGGGACCCGACACCAUGCAUGCCGAUUUCAUAUUCUUAAUAUUUAUUUUUUUAAUGGUUGUUGAAACUAUAUAGUUACUCCAAUAUCACGUUUCCGAUUAUAAAAAUUAACAUAAAGAGAUCGGAAGGGAGAGCCCGCAUAAUGAAGCCGACGCGUAUAAUAAGCACUAGAGCCGGCAUUUAUACAAACGGGUACGCAUAGUAAAAACUAGAAUUUAUAAAUAAAUGAAGAUAUUCAAAUAUCUGGCUUACUUUUUUCAUUAAUUUUGCAUGAAUAAGGGAUGAUUCAUUAAUCAUUAUUGAACAAAUUGGCACACAUGCUUCGUGCCCGCGUUGUGAGCAUUAUGCGAUGCCACUGAGCUGCACCACCACGGUAGAGGGCCUGUUUGCGAUGCCACCGAGCUGCACCACCACGGCAGAGGGUCUGUUUGGGAAGGGGAAGUUAAAGUUUAACACCCCCCAUUUAACACCUUUUUAACAAAAUGGCUGCUAAACACUUGUGUUAAAAGAGUAGUGUUAAAAUUUAACACCUCUCUUUUCAUAAACACAUGGAGGGGGUGUUAAAAUUUGCUAAAUGUGUUAAAAGUGGUCCCCUCCCCACUUAUUCCUUGGUUGCCCCCCUCUCUCUCCUCCUCUCUCUCCUACCCGCCGCAUUUAAGAGCAUUAUUGAGGGGUAAUGCAGUCCUUUUCCAACAAAAGUGUUAAACUUUAACAACCCUUCCCAAACAUGCCACAAGCAACACCACCGGCUGACUGUGCUAGCGGGGAGCACCCUCACCGCCUGCCCGUGGGGACUUCUUCUGCCGGCCAUCGUGUCUUUGUAGGACCGCCGCGUGAGCCUAUGAGCCACCGGUGGCCGUGCGCCCAAGGGCCAUCACCAUGCCACCUGAGGAUGCUGUCUACCCGGUGCCGCGUGCCUCUGCUAGCUGCUUGCACCUGGGCCGCCGCUGGUCGCCUGCACAGCCACGCGUUACAGCCGCCCCCCUGCGCUGGGCCACCCCAUUUCGUGUUGGAAGAACUGCCACAGUCUCGCGCACUGGGGUUUUGCUAGUGACGACCAUAGCCUCCAAGAUCAAAUGAAAAAGUUGGUACUCAAAACAUACAUCCAUUAAUCUAGUCGUGCUAAUCCUUACCACCAAAUAAAAACUAGCAUGUGUUGUGUUUUUGUGACCCUAAACGAUCACAAAUGAAUAACUUAUGGGCGUUGCUAGCCUAUAAGUUAUGGGCGUUUGUGACCCUAGUCGCGCCGGGGUCUUGCUGGUGACAACCAUGGUCUUCGCGAUAAAGUAUUAAGUCUCAUCGAGUUCUACAAUUUUGAUAUAAAAUUUCUAUUCAUCCGAGAUCAAAUGAAAAACAAAUGAAAAAAUCCGAAGUAUUAGGCUUCAUCGAGCUCUACAAUUUUGAUAUAAAAUUUCUAUUCAUCCGAGAUCAAAUGAAAAAAUCCGAGAUCAAAUGAAAAGUUGGAACUCAAAACAUACAUCCAUUAAUCUUGAUAUAAAAUUUCUAUUCAUCCGACAUCAAAUGAAAAAGUUGGUACUCAAAAUAUACAUCCUUUAAUCUAGUCGUGCUAAUCCUUACCACCAAAUAAAAAAACUAGCAUGUGUUGUGUGUUUCUGACCGUAAACGAUCACAAAUGAAUAACUUAUGGGUGUUGCUAGCGUCCCGGACGCUAGCAUCGGACGCAUGAGCAGCCGUCCGAUCGGGUCCGACACCACUUCACGAUCUGUCUUAAAAAAAAGUCCCACCGAAACAUUGUUCCAUGUUGCAUGAAAUACCCCACUAUCCAUCGCCAGGUCUACAGCAAGCACCACCUUCCAAUCUGCUGCUCACCCAAGCUAAAUAGGGGCAUUAAAAUUGCAGAAAUAUGUCACAUAUCCUUGUCAAAUUAAACUAAAUCGCAACAUCCGAAAAUUUCUUACACAAAACCAUGAAACAUAUCGAUUAGAUAGGUGUAACAAGAUGGAAUAUGGUAUCCAACAUAUAGAUUCCGAAAAACAGAUGAAACAUUAUGUAACGAUUGUUGAAACAGUCGAGAAAUAUAGAUGUAACGAUUAAAAUUUAGAAAAGAAGCUUUAUGCAAAUUGCAAAAAGCUGAAAUAAGUGGUUGAAACAUUUCGAAUCACCAAAUGCCACAUUUGAAAUGGCUACAUGAAACAUCACGAAAUCAAUUGCAACAGUUGAAGAUGAAAACAUUCAAAUGCCUUGCCUUUCUCCAGAUUUGACCCUCCAAGCAUGAGUCCAGCCAUUUGCACAUUAGACCCUUGGGAGGAGCUCACCGGAGAACAACAAGACCGUGUUCUCCAACAAUUUUCUGAUCAAAUUGCAACAGACAAAACAAAGCAUUGCAACAUCUGGCAUCACGAGCUACAACAUCAACAAGUUAGGAUCAGGAGAAAGAGGGAAAACACAAGCCUAACAACCCCAAGACAAAACUGAUGUACUCAUCAUACAUCACGGCUUGCCGUGCACAGAGAUGAAGGCCGCCAAGCUCAAUCGAGACAGAGACGACGUGAUAGUGCUCCAGAUCGACGGUCCCCAUCAAUUGUUGCGUACACUGCCAAAAGCAAUGGAAGAAGAAGGGUCGUCCCUGCUCGACCUCCGUAGAUGAGCGCAGAUUGGGGGAAACCGUAUAGAGUGCCGCUGACAGCACAGGCGAGGGGGCUCAGGCUUGAUUCAGGGUGAGGGUAGCGGGUAGCAUGAGGAGACAGUCAGGUUUCAUAGGAGAGAGGCGGAGUAGAGAGCUCUGGUGACUCGGUGAGGAGGGUGCGGCACGGAGAAAGGUGUGUAGCUGAAGGAGCUACAUGGUUGGGGCGAGGCGAGCGUAGAGACUAGAGAGGGAAAAAAAGCAUGGGGAGGAGACGAUAUGUGGUUGAUGGUGCGGGCACGUGGUGAGCGCACCGUAUGAAAAUUUUGCUCGCGUCGGAUGACUGAUGUGAAGCAUUACCCAAUCUUAAUUAUCUCCCAUAAUCCAAAACUCACAAAAACAUCAAAAAUCCGCCGAGAAUAAAUUAAGUAAACCAUGCACACACAGAUAAUAAAAUUGCUAAUAAGGCCAGAGAUAAUACAUGAACAUAUUAGACUGUUCAUGACACAUAUCACGGUGGAUAGUGUCUGUGUCCUUAUUACAAGCAAUGAGAGAUGCUUGUCACCACACACACGCGCACAGAUGCAUGACAUACAUAUAGUUGAGACCAACAGAUGGAUCAACUAGAGGUCACCCCAUAUGGUGAACAAUUUAUUGGAGAUAAACAUUAACAUAACUUGGCCAUAGCUUGAAGCAUAGCAACAUAUGCCUAUGAAUGGCGUUCAUGCUAUCGUUUUAGGCUUGUCCAGCUUCUUUCAUCUUAGCAAGCACUUCCAUUUCUACCAUCUUAGCAGCAACUGUCAAAUUGAGAUAUGGAAAUCCCAUUAGCGCAUGAUUAAUUUUGCAGUGGAAAUAGAGUGCAAGAUAUCUUCAUGAUGUAAAUAACAUGCCUGAAGUUGUGAGAUGGGAAGUGAAGUCAACAAAUUACAUUAACGGAAAUGCAUGGAAGGCCACACAUACGUAUUAGUCCAUAAUACGCUACAAAGCUUGUAUGUACAUAUAGCAAAUUAAAUGCAUUAAUUGAAUAGAGUGAGUUUAGUGAAUUUACCAGAAUCGUCCAGAAAACAUGGGAAACAGCAAGUGUGCUUGCAGACUGUGUCGGAGCCACCCACACGAAUACAAAGCUGACAACAUGCUUGUGCCUCGUGGGAUACGCAGCAGCCGCACUGUGCCGCGGUGGCCGAGUUAACAUUGAGGCUCAAGAUGAACAGGCACAUGAUCACCAUCAAAGUGGUAGUCCUCUUUCCCUCCAUUGCCUCCUGUCGCUGCUACCUUCCUUGGUUACUAGUAAGUUUAUUGGUUUUGUGUUGAGAGGUGAUUCUUGCAUUGAAUGGACGUUGCCGCGGCUGCAAUUUAUAGGCAGCUGCGCUAUGUGAUGAUAUGGACAAGGUGCAAAUGGGUGGUCCUGAUAU